rnacentral:lncRNA from 1 species
AUAGAAAAGAGUUAUUUUAUUCAGAAAAGGAGUAACAUUCUAAAACCUCUACAAAACCAGUCACAUUUGCGUACAUUAUUAUUACUCUUUUUAUUACUAUUUAACUUCCUUUUACAGUAGAGGUUCACUGGGUAAGCUCUUAAGCAUCAGCCUUCCUUGGCCCUCCGUAGCUAGCUGGGCCACUGCUGUGCGUCAAAGUGGUCUCGAUCGUGUUGAACUUAACCCUUCUUGCUUCUUCGAGUGAGAUUUGGUACCCAUUGGAUAUGACCUCUAAUGGUAAACCUCUCAAGACCGAGGUUCGUCCAGCAAGUGUGUUGAUCUGUGCGUUUGCGUUUGUCUUGAACUCGAUCCACCGGAACUGUUCGCUUGUUGCGCGUUUCACCACGGAGAAACCUUGUGGUAUGGAAAGUAGCUGUCCUUGAGAGACUUGUCCGUCGAACACUCUGUCACCGUUGUCGUUAACCACCUGCACAUGGGCUUCCCCGUCUGUCACGUAGAGAACCGCGUUUGCGUUUGCGUUCCACUGUGGAAGCACCAUCGCGUUCUACAUCCAAUAAAUGUUUCAAUAGUCAUGUUUAUAGCGAACCGGAAACAGAAACCAAACCGAGAUGGUUAUAGAAUUAAUACGGCACGUGCCAAACCGAUAAGCAUAAUAAUGCUAACCAAACUUUCAAAUGUUAAUUCCUAUUAAAAUGCAUAUGUACUUACUUGACGGAUAGAUCCACGGAGGGCUGAGAGACGAAGGAAGCGAAGGAUGGGGAGAUCAUAGCUGUUCAGAGUGCUGAUGUAACCGAGCUGUGGCUUGUAUACGUCAGCAUUAGAUGGGUCAUCGAGGUUAUCGGUGCACCUCGCGCUGCAUAUGGUCUCUUCUAAACCGUUAACUUCCUCCUGCGGUCUCUGACUCCUCAAAGGCGGCCUAAUGACACUGAAUGGGCCUUGGACUCGGAUAAUGUUUCCACGGUUGUCUUGCUGGUUCUGAAGUUGUUGCGCUGUCCUAACAUCGAUCUUGAAAGCUUUAGCAAGAACCUCUGGUGUGAAGCCAUUAAGGAUGUUCUUUUGUGGCUGUUGCUCGCGUCCUUCUAUCCAUACUUGGCCUUGUGGGUUGUUUCCGGCUAAGUAAAAUGGCUACAGAUAAAACAGAAAACCAUAUUUUUGAUAUUCUGUAAUUAUAAAAGAAGUUAUAUGAUGAGAAAAAGACAAAAAUAGCACUAAAUCAAGUUUAUGUUCUCAAACUAGCACCCAAGGUCAAAAGUCACAAAAAUAGCACUUAAUGUUUUAUCAAAAGUCACAAACUUAGGGUUUAGAGUUAAAGGCUGGGGUUUAGGAUUUAGGGUUUAGGGUUUAGGGUUUGGGGUUUAGGGUUUAAGGUUUAGAUUUUAGGGUUUAUGGUUUAGGGUUUAGAGUUGAGAAAUGAGGUUUUGGGGAUAAGAUUUCAAAUUUUGAAAAAUAAAAAAAUUAAAAUUUUCAAAGGAUAAACUUAGAAAAGUAUCAUUUUGGUCAUUUUAGUCAUUUUAGUUUUUGAUUGCUAUUUUUGUGAUAUAAAUUUAGAAAUAUGCUAUUUUGGAGAUUUGCCCUUGAUUGCUUUUGAGGUUUUUGUUUAUUUAUAUACCCUUGGGUUGCGGUCGAGCUGAUUCUGGUGGCUGGCUAAAUCGAGGACGGAAACGAUGACAAGUGGUUGGUUUCCGUCGUUGUAGAACCAUUGGGCUACACCGGGAUGUGUAGCGAUGGUGUCCCCAGUCCUUAUGUGCUCCACUUUCUGGUGCAUAUCACGGAAGCCCUGGCCUUGACUCUGUUGUCCUUGCUGACCUUGUUGGCCCUGUUGUCCCUGGCCUUGACCCUGGUGGCCUUGGCCCUGACCUUGUUGUCCCUGGCCCUGACCUUCUCCGAAGGGGCUACCACCGCCUGGUUGAAACACUGAUGAGUCCUGGAAUGUCUCGGCGCAUCCAGGGACCACUCUCCCCAUAAGACCUUCUCCUAUAAUGUAACAAACCAAAAAAAAAAAAUUUAGUGCGCAGUUCUGUGAACAUCGACCAUAUAUUUAGGUUAUAAAUUAAACAAAAAAAUAUUAUAAUGUAUUUGAUCAAAACCUUAGCACGUGUAUAGUGAUAUACUUACUACAACACUUUUCUCAAAAGACUGAACCUUAAAGAUCACGAAUUUGAAUCUCGAUACUCAUAUAGUAUCAAAAUCAGAUUCACGUACCUUUAGCCACGAAGGAGAGCUUCGCGGUGCUAAAGAAAGAGGGCAAGUAGAGACCCUUAGACUCGAUGAUGUAACGUACAAAGGAGACACCAGAGCAACGUAGCUGAGGAGCGUGGUGGUCCCACACCUCGAUGCGACCAGCCUCAGCCUUAAGUACGUGUGACGGCUCCAGUGCAUUGAGCUGGUCUAGCUGACACUCGUUUGGAAACUGUUGAGCUGUAGAGCCAUGGAGAAAGAUCAAAAGUGCUAAGGAAAAAGAGAGAAGAGAUGAGAGCCGAGCCAUUUUCUCUUUACUUAGUUGUUGUGGUUUUUCUGGUCUUACAGCUGCGUUAGAUGAAGCUAUUUAUAGUGAACUUAUUUGUAUAGAUGUUGAUAAAUUUUUUUGAGGAUAAAUUGAAUGAGAUAAGAACCAGGUAUAUAGAGUCGACUAUGUACAAUCUACACUUCAUUUGAGUUGCUAUCUUUAUGUCUUCUUCUGAAAAUUUAAUUUGGCUUCACAUUGUAAGAAAACACAUAUUAACGAAGGGAGUUUGACACAUCUCAAUUUGCAUGGCUUAUUGAACUGCAUGUCUUUACACAUCAACUUUGAGAUAGGCAUAUGUAAUAGGACAAAAUAUAUAUUUCUUGUAUAUAUAUACUGAUUUGUUUGUCAAGAUAUAUAUAAAAAUUGUAUUAUUCUUUACAUUUGAUCAGUAUAACAAAUUUACAAUAACAUCACUAUAGCAAUUACGUUUGAAACGAACUGCUCCUGCAACUUGGUUAAGAUGAUAGUUUUACUAAUGUUGGUAAUAAACAAAGAUUUCUAGUAAUAUUGUUAGACAAAAAAAUAUGCAAUAAGAUUGCAAAUUUGAUCUAGACAUGUUUUGAUUAGAUCGUAGUAUAACGGAUUAACGGUCACACUCGAAUUUAGGCAUGGGCAUAUAAAAUCCGGAACCCGAAAUCCGAACCGAACCCGAACUGAAAAAACCCGUCCGUUAUCCGACCCGAAACGUAAAAAUACCCGAACGGGUCUUGUAGGGUGGUACAAAAAAUAUCCGAACCCGAAGUGUUAUUAACCGAACCCGAACGGAUAACCCGAAAAAUCCGAAAUUAAUAGUCAAUAUAAAUAUUUUGAAAUAUAUAUAAGUAUUCCAAUUAUUAAAUUCAAUAUUUGUGGUAAUAUUAUAUAUAAUAAUAAAUAUUAAAAUUCUAAUAAAUGAUUUAAGUACACAAUUAGUUAUAAAUAAGUAUUUUAUAAUUUGCUCAUUGAAAUAAAAAGUCUACUCUCUAUAAGGCAAUACAUAUUUUUUAUAAAUGAUGUUUGUUUUCAUGCUUGAUUUAACAUUUUAUUGUUAUUUUAUCAAUUUUAUAUGUGAUAGAUUAAUUUUUCUUUAAUUUAGAUGUUUUUCUUUAUCUUUUACUUCAAAAAAUUUGUUUUUUACUUUGGUUAUAUCCGAACCGAACCGAUAUAACCCGAAUCCGUACGAUAUAUGAUUACUUUAUGGGUUUUAUGAUGCAAUACAAUUUUGAACCGAACCCGAUCCGUACUAAUAAAAUUUUAGUAUGGGACCUAGAAGCGUAAACCCGAAAAUUCGAAAACCCAAAAACCCCAAAAAACCUGAUCUGAAUGCCAGCGGGUACCCGAACGCCUAGGCCUACUCGGAGAAAUGUUAAAGUUUCGAAAGACUGAUUAAUCAUGGACAUGCAAAUGAUUAAUGUUAACAAAAAUGGUAACUAUAAGAAGACAAUCGAGAGAAAAGACGUAGCGACACAAAACGACUCUGAGACACACGUGACAUGAGAGAUGUGUCGGACGCGACGAGCCGUGCUUUCAUCAUAUUCCACCGCCAUGACGAGUGUACGGCUGCAUGCUGCUCACAGUCCCUUUGGAAUUUCAUUCCAUUUUUCCAUUUUUCAUAAAUACGAAUUUGUAACUUUUUUUUCUUUUUUUUGCUAACACUUCGAUUACUUCUUUUCCUAAACAUUAUUUUUUUUUUCUUUUUGACAACAACACUUCAAUUACUUUUUCUUAUUCUAACACUUCAAUUACAUUAUAUUUAAUCUUUUGGUCUAACAAUAAAUUGAUCGGAAAAAGGAAACACUACCGUUAGGGUAUCUCCAAUGUGGCUCUAUAAUUUCUUCUAUUAUUUCCACUAAAAUAGAACAACUCUACUAUAGAAUUGGUUUUGUUCCAAUGGUUAACUCUAUAAUAGAGUGGAAUAUAGAAGAAUGCUGUUUUUCUACUCCAAAUAUAGAGUGAACAAAACAACAUUACUUUAUAUUUAACUCUAUUAUAGAGUAACUCUAUUAUAUAGUUAACCACUGGAGCGUGUUUAAAAAAAAAAAAAAAAAAGUUAACCAUUGGAGCAAAACCAACUCUAUAACAGAGUUACUCUAUUUUAAUGGGAAUUAUAGAGGAGAUUACAGAGCACCAUUGGAGAUGGUCUUACAUAUGUACGAAUUUAUAUGAACUUAUUGAUAAUUAUCAAAUAUAUUAACCUGUAAGGGUCUGAGAUGCACGCCCUACAGAUUUCUCUCUCAGGCACUUUGAUCGAGGCAAGCUUGUUUUUCAAAAACUGAGCCACCUCCUCCGUGCUCCACCGCAACUCCACUGCCCUCCAUCCAGUCAACCACCGCACCUGUUUCUCCGGCAUGACAAAUUUUUCUUCCCACAGAUCCUCCUCGUGAAGAUGUCUUGUUUGACGGUGUUAAAAGUGCAAGUUAGAAGCGUAGUUGGAGCAGAUCUGAUUUUUCCUCUGAAAUAAGUUGAAGCUUUUAGAUAUUACCUCUAGCUUGAGGAUACUGGAUGCGACGCCCUCCUUGGUCUCUCAGUAACGUUUUUUCAUCAGUGUUAAACUUUCACUAUCAUUUACCUCGCCUCUGAGGAUUCAAGAAUGGCUAACCGUUACACUAGAUCCGAAAAGGGUAAGUGGGUAGCAGGGUCUUCUAGACUUCCCCAAAAGAUCCGCUACUCCAGUCCGCAGAGCUCCGAUACGGAUCCCCCCGAGCAAUAAUGCGGAACUUAUCGAAGACAACAAGCUCACUCUCUUAGGUCGUGUGACUAAUCCCUUUGUCCAAAAACCUAAAUGGGUUCUGGAUUGGCUUAUCCAGUACUGGAAUCUGGAAACGGCAGUAACAGGAAGAACCCUAGGUCACGACCUUUUUCAAGUCAAGUCCGAAACAGAGGAGGCUCUUCAGUCGGUGAUGAGACGAGCUCCCUUUCAUUACAACCGAUGGAUGAUAAUUCUACAGAGAUGGGAACCGGUUGUUUCAACGGCAUUCCCCAAACGUACCCCCUUUUGGAUCAAAAUCCACGGUCUUCCCCUCCAUUACUGGACAGUGGAAACGUUAUACGCAAUAGCCAAAGGACUAGGUCCGAGGCUUGAUGAUGAUGUUCCCCAAGGUAAACUUCGGAUUGAUGUUGACUGUCUCAGCAACUUGGAAAUGCAGCUUCCGCUAGAGCUGCCAUCAGGAGAUGUCCUAACAGUGGAUUUGGAGUAUGAAAAACUGGAAAAGCAUUGCUUCUACUGCUAUUCCCUCUUCCAUGAGGAAGCCUCUUGUCCCACUAAACCGGCGGCAGUAAGAGGUUCGGCUCAGGCAACGGGAAUCAGUCAACAAAACACUCUGAGAAGCUUAGAAGAGCACAGAAGACGCCAUGACCAACGUCGAACUUCCUCAAACCAGUCUAGAUCCUCGGUUGAGCGGUCAAAAGGAAACCAAGCUGUUUCCCAAUGGUCAACUAACUCCAGGCCACUUCUCUCAGAGCGUCGCCCCCAACCUGCUCAUGCUAGUCAUCAACGUUACCCUGAUAGGGAAGCAGACAAAUAUCACAGUUAUCAUCACCAAAGGUCCCCGCGGAGGGAGUAUCAAGUUCGAUCUCCUCCCCGAACCUAUAAAGACCAUCACAAAUCCAGGGCUCGCUCUUACCAAUCUUAGUAUUCAAGGACUCCACCCCCGUUGCCUGCUCGCGAACCUACGGACUUGCCGGAGAUCCCUGAACGUGGAGAGGUUAACAGUCGUUCCCAUGAACGUCGAUCUACUUUGGAGAGAUUGGAACACCCUUCUCAGAAACCCCAGCGUUCAGGAGGCCUCUACAACUCUUUGCUAGCCAGACUUCAAGACGUGGAGGUCACCUAUGACCAAGAAGAUCUUCGAGUGAAGCUGUCAGAAGGAGGUUCGGGAAAUAAAACUGCCCCUAUAACUCCAAGUGAACCGCCAGGUUCAGGUCAGAGAGUUCAUACUUCUCUUCGGCUAGGGUCCCCUGUUCAGGUUGAUCCAAAGAAAAAGCAGCCGGCCUCGUCAAGUAAAACAGCAGCAGCAGCAAAGAAAGCUCCGACCAAGAGGAAAGCACCCGCAAAAACUACUAUCCCAGCAAAGAGAGCUACAAGGCCAAAGAUUGCUAGGAGCCCGAGACAAAGCACUCGUCUCUCAAAACAACUGACGGCAAGAACCGCGAACCCACUGCGCAAAAAGUUGUGUGUGGAAAAAGACGGAACUGAAGAUAUACCUGGCUCUCAAGUUCAAGCUGCACCAGGCGUGGUGAUCGUACCAGCGGUAAGGAAGGGUAGAACGGAUUUUCGGGAUCCGCAAAACCCGAUUCCUUAGCUCUUGUGUGCUGGAACUGUCAAGGUUUGGGGGGUGAUUUGAUAGUUUCAAGGAUCCGGGAAAUGAAAAGAAUUUUGGCCCCAGAUAUCCUAUUUCUAACGGAGACAAAGAACCAGGAUGCAUUUGUUCUAGCUGAGCUCCAGUUUAUGGGUUACGAUCACCACUUCACCGUCCCACCAGUAGGCCUCAGCGGGGGAUUAGCUCUAUUCUGGAAAGCGGAUUUCUCACUGGACAUCCUUGAAGCAUCGGCGCACUUCAUAGAUGCCAAACUGAAGGUAAAAGCCUUUGUUUUCCAUAUCACCUUUAUUUAUGGAAUGCCGCAACAAGAACAUAGAGCCACUUUUUGGGAGAAGAUUUCCCAGGUAGGAGAGAAUAGGGAAACUGCCUGGUUGUUAUCAAGAGACUUUAACGAUAUUCUAGAAAACAAUGAGAAAGUUGGAGGUCCCGAAAGAUGCGAAGGUUCUUUCAUCCCGUUUUGUAGUUUUGUCUCCCAAAAUGGAUUAUGGGAUGUCAAGCAUAUCGGAAACUCCCUAUCAUGGAGAGGUCAACGCGGUUCCCACUACAUCAGAUCUCGCUUGGACCGUUCUCUUGCAAACUGCGCAUGGUUUGAUAUGUUCCCUGCAGGGCGCUGCGAUUACCUCCGUUUUGAGGGUUCUGAUCAUCGACCGAUUGUCACUUAUUUGGAUACCUCUAAAGUGAAGCGAAAGCGCCUGUUUAGGUAUGAUAGAGGUAUCAAAGAAGAUCCUGAAGCGAGGAAAGUAAUUGAAGAGGCGUGGAAGAAAGAUACCCUGGAACAAGUAGAGUCAAAGAUAAAGAGAUGCCGGAAUGAGCUGAUCAAAUGGUCAAAAGCUAAGAAGGAAAACAGCGCAAAAACAAUUCUAGAGCUCCAGGAGAAGUUGGAGGAGAACCUGUCCUCGGAUUCUCCCUCCAUAGAGUUCAUCCAAGAGCUCUCGCUAGCUUUGUCUAAAGCAUAUAAGGCUGAGGAACUGUUUUGAAGGCAGAGAAAUCGAAUUAUGUGGCUGCAAGGGGGUGAUCGUAACAGUGCCUAUUUUCAUGCAGUCACUAAAGGAAGAAGAUCUUUCAAUUGCCUCACCACCAUAGAAAAUGAAAUGGGAGUUUCUUUUCAUGAGGAAGCAUAAAUUGGUGAGGUGUUUGCAGACUACUACUCAAAGCUUUUCACCUCAAAUGGAGCUCAUAACUUAGAAGCGGUGGAGGAAGCAGUCACAGCAAGAGUGAACUUGGAGAUCAACCAAACCAUCUCAACAAUUCCUAUGGAUGCAGAGAUCCUACUGGCAAUCAAGAGCAUCCAUUCGGAUAAGGCACCAGGGCCAGAUGAGUUCUCGUCGGGAUUCUACCAUUCAUUUUGGGAUUUGAUUGGAGUUGAUAUUUGCAGAGAAGUGCGACAUUUUUUUGAGACAUGAAAGAUGGACAAAAGGAUCAAUGAGACCCAUAUAUGCCUGCUCCCAAAGAUCUUGGGACCGAAAUGCCCCUCGGAGUUCCGUCCCAUUGCUCUCUGCAAUGUACGAUACAAGAUAAUAACAAGGAUCCUAACUCUCCGGCUUCAGAAGUUUCUAGAUACCAUUGUCUCGGUGCAUCAAUCUGCCUUUAUCCCGGGACGUGCGAUCACGGACAACAUCUUGAUUACCCAUGAGACCUUACACUUUUUAAAAGUGUCAAGAGGCAACCAAGCGAUGCUCAAUGGUGGUCAAAACUGACAUGAGCAAAGCCUAUGACCGGAUUGAGUGGGAGUUUCUCGAAAAAGUGCUACAACAAUUCGGUUUUGAAGCAGUAUGGAUCAAUUGGGUAAUGGAGUGUGUCACCACAGUCUCCUAUUCUUACCUGAUUAAUGGGGCGCCUUAUGGGAGCGUCUCUCCGAAGCGAGGACUGCGACAAGGAGACCCGCUAUCCCCUUACCUCUUCAUUCUUUGUAUAGAGGUACUUACGGGCCUGUGUCUCAGGGAGCAACAAUCUGGCAGCUUUAAAGGUCUGAGAGUAGCUCGCAAAAGCCCCCUGGUCAACCACUUGUUUUUUGCUGAUGAUACUGUUUUCUUCAGCAACACCAGUGUAAAAAACUAUACCUCUUUAAUGAGGAUCCUUCAGAGAUAUGAAGCUUGCUCAGGACAAUGCAUAAAUCUCGAAAAAUCUACCAUCUCCUUUUCCUCAAGAACCCCGGAAGCAAUCAUGACUCGAGUAAAAGUUGCAGUUGGGAUUGAUAAGGCGGGAGGAAUGGGAAAGUACCUGGGAUUACCUGAAACGUUUGGCCGCUGCAAGAGAGAUGUGUUCACGGGCUUGGUGGAUAAAAUCCGACAGCGAUCUCACUCUUGGCCAACAAAAUUCCUUUCUGGUGCAGGGAAGCAUGUGCUCCUCCAAACUGUCCUCUCUUCCUUUCCAAACUACUCCAUGUCAGAGUUUCAAAAUCCAAAAAUCCCUAUGCAAGCGCAUACAAUCAGUUCUCACCAGAUUUUGGUGGGAUAGCGCUCCCGAUAAGAAGAAGAUGGCAUGGGUUUCGUGGGACGGAAUGGCUACGCCGAAAUGUAUGGGAGGCUUGGGGUUUAAAAAUUUGGAAUCCUUUAAUGAUGCCCUCCUUGCAAAGCUGGGUUGGAGAAUCAUGAAUCAUCCAGAUGCUUUACUCUCUCAGGUGCUGAAAGGGAAAUACUUUUGGGACUGCUCAUUCCUAGAGAGUUCACCAAAGCAAGCAUCUUCCCAUGGAUGGAUCGGGAUAAUGGCAGGGAAAGCGCUGCUUGAGAAGGGUCUGGGAUUCUUGGUGGGGGAUGGUGAAAAUAUCAAUGUAUGGUCAGAUGCUUGGCUCUCUCCCUCUCAGUCUCUGACGUCGAUAGGACCACCAACCUUUGAAAACCAAAAGCUUAAAGUAAAAGACCUCCUGCUCCCAGACUCUAACGUUUGGAACCUGCCCCAAAUCCGACUCCAUUUACCUCACUAUGAGGAUGUUAUAAGACAGCUGAUUCCUAGUGCUUUGAAACCACCAGAUAGACAGGUCUGGUUUGGAGAAAGCAAUGGCAUUUACUCAACCAAGUCAGGCUACAAGAUGGAAAAUAUCCAAGUUUCAAUUCAAAACCCUCAUGGGUUUGACUGGAUAAAACAUGUCUGGAAGUUGGACUCCCCAUGCAAGAUCCAACACUUCCUCUGGCGAGCUCUGAAUAAUGCUUUCCCUGUGGCUGAGCUUCUGAUCCAUAGAGGAAUGGAAGUAGACCCAUCUUGUAAAGUCCGUGGAGAACUAGAAACCAUUGAUCAUGUUCUCCUACAUUGCUCCUUUGACCAAAGAACUUGGGAAAUGGCCCCAACUCAACUCGUAUCAGGUCAUGCGCUACCUACAAACUCGCUCAAACAGCUGCUCUCUCUUGUACCGAAAGUUCUCAAUCUUCCCCUUUCGGGUUUAACCUGUUCUCCGCUGUCCCCCUGGAUCUUUUGGAACCUUUGGACAGCAAGGAACAAAAGGAUUUUUGAGAACAAAAUCUACUCGGCUGAAGAGACUCUUUCUAAAGCUAUUAGAGAUGCUAAAGAGUGGGAAGGGGCAAAGAAGAAUCCUGCUGUGAUAGAAAAGCCUAGGCAGAACCCUAUGAACCAAUUUGACUCUAUAAUCCCAACUUGUUGUGUUGAUGGUGCAUGGAAGACGGAUUUUAAAUGUGCUGGUUUUGGUUGGUUUAUACAGGAUAAGCAAACUAAGUUGGAGAUUAAAGGGGCGGCAUCACGCUGUCACGUAGCAUCUGCGCUAACAGCUGAAGCUCUCGCUCUCCGGGAAGCACUCCAAGUGGCCUCUAAUGCGGGGCUAACACGCCUCAAGAUCAUGUCGGACUCAAGGGUCCUCCUCUCUGCCCUGCGAUCAGGGACGGUUCUGAAUGAGAUAGCGGGACUUCUCCAUGAAAUUAGUCACCUCAUUUCUCUCUUCUCAACCUUAUCUUUUGUUGUAAUCUCUCGUUCAGUAAAUGCUAUAGCCGAUGGGCUUGCGAAAGCUGUUCUUGCAGCUCUUUGUCUUCAAAACAUUGUAUGAAUGCUUUAGUAUGAAUUAAUCCGUUGACCAAAAAAAAAAUUAACCUGUAAGUAAUCUGACAUGAUUUUUAGUUAUUUAAAAUUUUAUGGACUUUUUGAAACUUUUACAUAAAUCUAUGACAAAUAUCAUUAUCCAAACUUUAUAUUUUCGAUUUGAGUAUCUGGAGAAGUCAGCAGAAUCUUCAUGGUUUCUUUUCUCUUUUAUCAAGAUUUUGUUCUUUGGUUUAGUUUGUAGAUUAGGUGUAUAUCUCAAUUACACUAGAGUUUAAGGCAAUGUGAUUACAAAGUUUGUGUAUUGGUAGUCUUCUUUCCCUCCUCGUGUCGGUUGAACCGCUGGACUCUAUUAUCUCCGUUGAUUACUUUUUUUUUUGACAAAAUGUGAAUUCAUUUCAUAGAAAUGACAUUUAGAUAUAAUAGCUUGGAUCUAAUUUUGCUAGAACUAGCAAAGGCUAUCUAAAAAUCCUCAAAAAAAGAAAAAAAAAGAUCCUUAAAUACAAUGUUAGGCUUAAUCAUGAAACAUGGAGAACAACAUGACAGCAAUUGACUCCCGUAUGACCCAGAGGACACUUUAAUGCUGAAACCUGCAAAAAAAAUUUGAGAUCAAGGGAAAGUUCAGGAGCGAAUGAGAUCCCAGAGGAAUCAGAUGUUUUGACAGGCGAAGGCGGUUAGGCGCCCCGACCAUAACUCCAUCAAGAGUCCGCUCCCUAACAAACCAGAAGAUUGAGAAGGAUGAGGCUGUUGGUCCGAUCCGACAAGAGGAAGAGCAAGCGAUGAAGAACGAGAACUCGUGAACUGCAGGCGGUGGUUUUUGACACUCUACACAGAGAUUGAUGCUUUCCUAUCGACAAAGAGACUUUCCUAUCGACAAAGAGGCAGUACACUUCCACCCCCACCUUCCUGCGAGAGCCUGAAGAACCGGAGCUGGAGCUCCAAACGAACAAGGCGACACGACUGACUGCUGAAACAACACCGUACAAAGGAGAACGAACUGAGCAUGUCCUCGAAGCUCAAAGUCUCCGGUAGACAGCAAACGAGCCAGGAUGACAUAGAAGUGUCACCGAGAUUUGCUGGCAUGUAGAUCUAAAAACAGAGGCCCUCAGCAGAGUGUCUCGAACUCCACCGCUCUCUAAAGAAUGAUCUUUGAGGAGAGGCUCUACAACACCUUGAGUGACUGGAAAACAGAGGAACCGAACAAUAGGAAGGGAGAGGAGCACAUUGGAGGCAGAGACGUUCCAGAUCUGCUCCGCCAAACCUUGAGAAAACGAAUAUGACCCAGAUCCGACAACGGCUCUUUGUUCUACCAAAAAAGUAAGGACACAUUGUCCAAUCUGCUGGUGACCUCCUCGUCUACUCUCUAGAGAGGCUUGGUAUGCACAAAGCUUCCGUUUAGGUCCGUUGAGGCAGAGAUCCAGAGAGUAUAGGAAGAAAGGAGGCGGCGAGAACAGAGGGAUAAAGGGUGAGAGACUGAAGCUUACGCAUAUUGGAAGAGGUGGGAGGUCGACGGCGAAGGCUCGCCGACCGCCAUAGGAGAGAUAAAGUUGACAGCGGGAAUUAGGUUAAAAAGAGAUGAAAGGGAGAGACACUGGAGAGAAUUAUUCUCUCACCUCUCUCUUGGAAAGAUUAUUCUCUCACCUUUUUUCGUUGAUUACUAUUGGAUCUUCUUUUAAUAUAAUAAAAUGAAACAUUUGAGUUAGAACUUACGUGCUUUCAAAACAAGAGGUAGAAUGCUGCAUGUUUGUUUAUUCAUAUUAAUCAAAUACUUUAUAAGAUAUUGUAAAUUUUAUAGAAAAAAGAUUUACAAAAAUUUAAAAUUUUGUAAAAUGGCAUAGUCGAAAAUUCAAAACUUCAUAUAUUAUACCGUUUUAAUAUUUUAAACUGUAUAAAAUUAUAGUUCCUUUCAAAAGAUUAAGUGGAAUAACUUAAUCUGAAAUGCAUACUAAUUAUAUACUCUAUUGAUGGAGUGGGUGACACACUGAAUAUAAUCAGCCUUACUUUCCACUGACAGAGUCGUCGAUCGAUACAUAUUGAACAUAUUCAUCCUUCUUCUUGAACAGUGGAUAUAUCCACAUGAUCUGAUCAAAUUUUAGUUUCCUUAUGGAGUGGUGAGCAAUGUACAGUAUUCACAUUCAAUGAAACUCGAGGAAACAACUCUGCUAAUUCAUCCUGCAAAUCAUACUUGAUAUCUGCAAAAUAAUAACGAGAGAAAACGUUAUACAUAGUUACCAUAACUAAUACAAAUACAUCACAAUACCUUAGAUUACACAUCCAACUAGUUACUAUUGAUAAACAUCUCAGGGUCAAUCUAAUUUUUAACAAAAUAUAAAGUCUAGUACGUUUAUUUUUGAACAAAUAAAGUCUAUUUCAAUCUAACAGGUAUAUAAAACAAUAAACACACAAUCAUAGACAAAAAUUAACAGAACAUAAUGACAGACUCAGAGUACCACAAUUAAUUCUUCUUUUUACCAACCUAGCUAGAUUUGCGAAUUAUAGUUGCAGCUGAUCGUGACUGGUUUUUCUUGUCAUUAGCUUCACUUAGUUGCAUUAUCUUCAUUUGAUUCUCAAGUCCACUUUUCUUGAUGUUCAUUCCCUUAACACUUGUGCUUAAUCCAUGAAAAACAUCAAAGAUUGCUUUAUGAAGCUUCUCAAUGCAGGAGUAAAAUACGUUGACUUACUAACUUCUCGGUUUCAGUCAAUUCCUCUUUCUCUUGAACUUUUAAAUCUUCCUUCUCUUCACCCAACAUGAAUCUCCUUUUUUCAACCCAACCUAAAUGUUUUUUUUUUGUUAAAUUUUGUGGAGGACAAAUCAGGUUUACCACCUACGUAUCUUCUAUCUCAUCCUUCCAUUUAAGUUCUAUAAGACUUGACAGGUUCUCGUUACCAAUAAAAUUAUGGACAGCAACCUAUAAAAUAGAGACAUUUUAUUAAAAGUAUAGUAGAAACAUCUCAAAAUAAUAACAUUUAGUGACAGAAUAUAUGCAUAGACCAAAUUUAAACCUUAUCGAUAAUUUCUUCAAGACCAAUAAGUCAAUUCUUGCUUUAGAUCCCUUCCACUUCAACCUACCGCGUGAGCUUUAACCUUCUUAGCUAUUAACGCAACAUCCUCAUAUCCCCAUAUUUUUUUUUUGUCAAGAAUUUCAUUCAAAAACAAGUCAAAUGACUUGAAAUCACACAAGUUUUGAAACAGAAAAUUGCAAAUAAGACUUCAGUAGAUGCCACAAGGCCAAAGCCUUAAACAAAAGAACCCAAAUAAAGCGUUUAACACAAUGUAAACAACUCCAAAGACCACUAGUUUCGCGGCCAUCAGGCGGAUUCAUGACGAUCAGCAUUAUGGCAGUGCUUGGUUUCUGAUAGCAGGAGAUAACCAAGAAGGGCCUCCAUUAGCAAUGUAAGAUUGGUAACGUAGACCUGUAGUGACACUAGCGGCAAUCUCAAACGCUAAUGAGUUAACUCCCUCUGGUACUAACACCACUUGACAAUAAUCAAAUUGGUGCAAGGAGCGAAGCGUACUCGAUAGCAGUAUUGGUACAUUCGGGAACAAUCGAGGGUUGUUAAUGGCAUCCAAAACAAGCGGAGAUGAGAUUUCAAAGAUUACCUUUUUGAAAUGUAAGUUGUGCAUGUCCGUGCAUGCCCGUAGAAGAGUGCACAACCCUGCUUCAAAGGAAGAACUCAUAGGCAAUAAAGCACUCCUACUAUGCACCAGUGUGAUAUCUUGUAUAUUUCCAUUAUCUUAUCCAUUCAUCCAUGUGCAUUUUGAUCAUAUAGACUAGGAUUUAGCCAUGUUUAGGUUGCAUUUUGCAUACAUAAGUCUUUAUCAGGUAUUGGAGUACCACAUGGAGUUCUCGGAGACAUUUGGGUGUGUUUGGAGCUCGAAAGAGGUGUAAAGAUGAUCAUUGGACGAGCAGAGCGUUGGGAGCGACUUCCCGGAGCGACACCAGCAAGUCGCUCUGACCUGCCUUUUCAGAGCGACCUUACCAGAGCGAUGCGGAGAAGUCGCUCGCCAUUUCAUCCCGGUGGAAGCCGAAAACUGACCCGGAGCGACCUAUCAGAGCGACCACUCCAGGUCGCUCCCGAAGCCCAGAGCGACUUGGCCAGAGUGACACCCCGAGGUCGCUCGCAUUUCUAUCGCAUGACGACAACACAAUGGAGCCAGAGCGACCUCUCGCAGCGACACAGCGAGGUCGCUCCCGAAGCAUGGAGCGACUACUCGGAGCGACGAGCGGAGGUCGCUCGCAUUUUCAUCACUCGGGAACGCGAGAACGAGUCCGGAGCGACCUCUCGCAGCGACACAGCGAGGUCGCUCCCGAAGUGUGGAGCGACUACUCGGAGCGACGAGCGGAGGUCGCUCCGCGUCUUAUUUCUGCUCGAACUUAUGAUUUCUCAAGGGCCUUUUGGUCAUUUCAUGAUGCACGUUUUUAUUUUCUAAACCUAUGUUUUAAUACUCUGUAAGCCACCAGGAGGCAGAUCUAUCUUUGUUCUGAAGAAAACCACCAAAAACCUUGAAAAAGGGGAUCUCUUUGAUUCAUUGAUCACAUGUUCUACUGUUGAUUUCUAUUCUGUUAUCUGUAUUUUCUCUGAAUGAUUAAUCUGAAAUCCAAUAUGGGUUUAAGAGGAAUCAUGGAGAUUAGUGAGUAAUCACCUUUUGAAUUCAUGGGUUAGGGAGAUUAAGGGUGAUUAGGUUAGUUCUAGGAUGUUUUAGUGUAGAUCAUUCUUGUUCCUUGCUAGUAGAGUAUUCCUAAUGCAUCUUCUGAGUUGGCCACUCAAAAGUUGAUCAAUAGGCAUUUCCCACCCGAAAGGUGUUUGAUGAAAUGCCUGAGACAACUCUCCUAGGCUUUUAGUAUACUUUGCCAAAGACAUUUGUUGUUAAAGGUGCUAAGAUAGCUAAUAGACUUGUUAGUAAUGAUUGUUUUCAUAUUAUUCAACCAAAGACAUUUGAUGUUUGAGAUAUGUUAGCAAAUGAGCAUUUAUCUAGACAUAGAGCUUGCUUAGAAUUGUGUCUAGGCUUAAGGUUGAUAGUUUGAUUGAUCAUUUGCCAUCAUUAGUUCGAUACUUGAUCACCCAAGGUCUAAUCCCUAUGCCCAUGAGUUCUCUUUUCCCUUAGUCAAGAAAGUAUCAUUUUGUUAUUGCUUUCUAGUAUUAGUAGUAGUUAAAAACUCAUCUAAAUCAUUGGUUGCACUUAGAUUAAGUGAGUACUUGCAUUCUCAGUGCUUUGAUAUCCCUCAGAACUGGUUCGACAAUCUCUAUACUACAACAUUUGUCUUAGGAGCCUUGAAAACUCCUAACAUCAAAUUGGCGCCGUUGCCAAAUUCUGAGUAGAUUUAAACAUUGAGAUUUAGUCACUUGCUUGAGACUAAGUCAUUUUAAUUUUGUUUUGUUACUGAUUCUUCUUCUUCACCUACCUUUCACUUUCAGGUGUAUGAACUUGAGGAGCAGGGGUCCAUCAAACCUAGUUCCAAUAGUAGCAGACAUCAGAGCUUUUGAGAGGGAGUGUGCUAGAGCUAGAAGAGAAGAAGAACACCAGGCCCACUUGGAUAUUGAUAUGGCAGAUCCACCGCAAGGGGCAGAACACCAACCGCGGGCAGCUCGACCCAUUGGCACUUACGACCGCCCCAACAUACAUGGUCACAGAUUCGGAAUCCGAGCACCAGCUGUGGCAGCCAACAACUUUGAGGUCAAGUCAGGACUCCUCAACGUGAUCGAGAACAACAAGUAUCAUGGCUUGGCUCUGGAGGACCCAUUUGAUCACUUGGAUAGGUUCGACAGCUACUGUGGGUUGUCAAAAACCAAUGGUGUGUCCGAAGAUGCCUUAAAGCUCAAGCUAUUCCCUUUCUCUUUGGGGGAUAAGGCACGUCAGUGGGAGAAGUCUCUACCCAGCCACUAUAUCACCACUUGGGAUGAGUGCAAGAGAGCAUUCUUGGAGAAAUUCUUCUCAUCCUCAAGAACUGCUAAGCUGAGAAAUGAGAUCUCCAGUUUCCAACAGAAGAACUUGGAAGGAUUCAGUGAAGCCUGGGAGAGAUUCAAGGGCUACCAAGCUCAAUGCCCACACCAUGGUUUCUCUAAGGAGAGCUUGCUGAGCACAUUCUACCGUGGUGCUCUUCCUAAGUACAGGGCCAGACUGGAUACAGCUAGCAAUGGGUUCUUCUUGGGGAGAACUGAGGAAGAUGCAGAGGAGCUGGUUGACAACAUGGUAAAGAGUGAUGCAGUCUACAGUGGAGACCACGACAGAAGCAGUCGAACAGAUGAUAAGCAGACGAGGAAGGAGUUGAAAGCUCUACAGGAUAAGAUAGACAUCCUCCUUGCUGAUAAAGCCACACAAGAGCAGCUGCACUUUGUUGGUAACCCAAGCCAAGAUACACCACCUGUUGUUCAUGAGGUUGAGGGCUUGGAAGGUCAGGAAGACUUGUGUUUCAUCAACAAUAAUGGUAGCUGGUACAAAAAAGAGCCCAACUUUCAGUACAACAACUACCAACAGAAAUCCUACCCCAACAACCAACAGAGUGGUAAUCCGCUUCGAAACAACCAGCAAGGCAGCUAUCAACCUCAUCAAAACCCCUCAUCUGGUUCCUCUGCUCCUCAAGAGAGCAGCACUGACACUCUGCUGAAACAAAUCUUGGAGUCUCAGACUAGAAGUGAGAAGCAUGUUGGAUAUGAGUUGAAAAACCUUCAUUCCAAGAUUGAUGGAAGCUACAAUGAGCUCAACAACAAGUUCUCACAUCUUGCUUCUACAGUCAAGAAUUUAGAGAAUCAGUUUGCUUCCAUGAACACUCACCAGACUCGCCAGCAAGGAUCUCUACCUGGAAAAUCUGACCAAAACCCCAAGGAGGCCAAAGCUAUCACCCUUAGGAGUGGUAAGCAGUUACCUCCUACAACCCUCAUCAGGGAUGCUGAGAAACUAGGUGAAGAGGUGGCCAUCAACUUAGAUGAUGAAGUGGUGAUUGUUGAUGAGAAAAUCAAUGAUGAAAUCUUGGAGAAGAUUGUGGAAGCCAAGGGUAAAGGAAAGGUUGGGGAAGCGAAGAAAACAGUGAAAGAUGGUGAAGUUCUUGCUCCAGCAACUGAGAACUCUUUUGUUCCUCCUCCCUAUGAACCCAAACUACCAUUCCCUGGUAGAUUCAAGAGGCAGCUGCUAGAGAAGUACAAGGCUUUGUUUGACAAGCAAAUGAGUGAAGCUCAGGUUGCAAUGCCCAUCAUCGAUGCUUUCAUGUUGAUUCCUCAAUACAACAAGUUCCUGAAAGAUGUUGUAGCUGCAAAGAAGAAGGAAAUGGAAAGCAUGAUGAUUCUUACCCAUGAGUGCAGUGCCAUCAUCCAAAGGCUUGAUGUUCCAGAGAAGUUAGAGGAUCCAGGAUGCUUCACACUACCUUGUGCUCUUGGACCUAUGGUAUUUGAGAAAUGUCUCUGCGAUUUGGGAGCUAGUGUCAGCGUGAUGCCUUUGUCUGUUGCAAAGNNNNNNNNNNNNNNNNNNNNNNNNNNNNNNNNNNNNNNNNNNNNNNNNNNNNNNNNNNNNNNNNNNNNNNNNNNNNNNNNNNNNNNNNNNNNNNNNNNNNNNNNNNNNNNNNNNNNNNNNNNNNNNNNNNNNNNNNNNNNNNNNNNNNNNNNNNNNNNNNNNNNNNNNNNNNNNNNNNNNNNNNNNNNNNNNNNNNNNNNNNNNNNNNNNNNNNNNNNNNNNNNNNNNNNNNNNNNNNNNNNNNNNNNNNNNNNNNNNNNNNNNNNNNNNNNNNNNNNNNNNNNNNNNNNNNNNNNNNNNNNNNNNNNNNNNNNNNNNNNNNNNNNNNNNNNNNNNNNNNNNNNNNNNNNNNNNNNNNNNNNNNNNNNNNNNNNNNNNNNNNNNNNNNNNNNNNNNNNNNNNNNNNNNNNNNNNNNNNNNNNNNNNNNNNNNNNNNNNNNNNNNNNNNNNNNNNNNNNNNNNNNNNNNNNNNNNNNNNNNNNNNNNNNNNNNNNNNNNNNNNNNNNNNNNNNNNNNAUACCUCGUUGGUAUUCUUCCGUAAGCAAUCUCGUGUUCGGAUCCAAAUGAGGUCGAUCGAUCCAAGAACGAAAAUAAUUUGAAGAAGACAUAUUUUUUAUGAAUCAAAUUCGUGUGUAAAUAGAGUAAGAGGGAGGAUGAAGAUAUGAAGUGAAUGAAGAGGAAGAGGAGUGCUUGUAUUUAUAGUUUAAAUCCUGCCGACAUACCGAGGAAAUUCCGACGGACAAAACUAGUUCGUCGGAACUUCCUCGGAAUUUUGUAAAAUCCCCCAACGGCUCUCCAACGGCUAUAAUAUUUCCUCGGAAUUCAUCAGUUUUUUCCGAGGAACCCAGUUUUCCUCGGAAUUUCCUCGGAAUAUUUCGACGGAUUGAUAUUUCCUCAGAAUUCCGUCGGUAUAUUCCGAAGAAAUUCCGAGGAAACCCAAUUUUGUGUUUCCUCGGAAUUUCCUCGGAAAUUCCUCGGAAUAUUCCGAGGAUUUCAUUUUUAGUUUGAAUGUCCGUCAGAAUACCGCUGUUUUCUUGUAGUGGUAUAAUACUCUCUUUAUUAAACGCUGUUGAUGUGCUUUCGUGUUUUGAAAAGUUGAUUGAGUUCUCACAGAAUGAAAAUGUAAAUAAGCUAAGGGGGUUCGAUCAUCUUCUUUAAUCCAUAGACUAAUUUAAGGCCUAAAGCUUCUAUGUCAUAACGCAUGAUAAAGUCGGUGACUAAAAUCCAGAUAAACAACUUUCUUCUUAUAAGCCAUAUCUUUUGAUUGAAUUUUCAUAUGUCAUAUAUCAUCGUAAAUCUAUAUAAUCAUUUGAAUACUUUCAAAAUGAAUCAUUAAAGAGACAAUAACAUUAACCCCUCAAUCUAAGAUGGUGAACACAUCAACAGCAUAUGCUAACAUUCUAUUAACUCUAUGAGAGAGGAACCUAUAACUUCACUAACAUUUAUGAAAACAUUGUUAUACUCUUAUACAACUUUAUCACUGUACUAUAAAUACAAAUUUUAUUGUAAUGAAAGAACUUACCAUUUUGAAGGAAAUGAUAUAUUGAAGUUUUGUUUUAUGUCAAUUUUAACAUUAUGGUUUGAUUGUUCUCACAAAGUUUCUAAAAGCAAAAAAAAAAGAGUAACCUAGGUUUUCAGUAUAUUUUUCUAGAUAAAAUAUUCAAAGAAGUAAAUAUGUAGAUUUACUUAUGAUCCUAUAAGUACUAUUGUGUCAUUGUUGACUUCAAUCUUUUUAUUGUAUCUACAUUUGUGAUUUUUGAGGAAAUCUCACCUCGAUGAUCCCCAUUGUUGCAGAGAGAGACGUUGAUCGACAGAGAGCUUUCUUUUUUUUUGAUUACCAGCGCCAAAGACUUAAAAACUCUUGGCCGUUUCUUAUCACCGUAAGGAAAGUAGCCAAGACUGAUCAUCUCCCACGCGGAGGGGUAGUGCGGUGGAAUCUUGAACCUUUGUGGAGUGUAUCGCGGAAUCUUGAAGGUUCGGAGAGUGAAUCACUGUGUUUCGGCCGGCGUAGGCUUCAUAGGCGGAGUAUGCGGCGACUUGGGCGGAGAAAUCGACGUGGACGGAGACGGCGGCGCCGUGGGCGGAGUGUGCAUGUUCUCAAGUAAGACAUCGCGUAACUUGAUAGCGAGGUCAAGUGCGUACGAAGGACCAAUCUUCGUCCUCGGCAUGAAAUCAUUCUACCAAACAAACAGAGUCAAAUUAGCAUAAUCUGAAGCUGAAACAAGAAUCUGAAUCGAAAAUCUUGAUCUUACCUUGAUCUCCAUUGUUAGUUUGCAGGUGCAGAGGAAGGAAAGAUCGAGCGCAAGAAAAAGUUGUUUAUAUACUGCAUAUGGGCCGUAUCCAAGUGGGCCUGUUUGAGCGUAAUAAACUUAUGAGUCGUAUUUAUUUCAUUUUUGUAUUGGUCCGAUUUGAGGGAGGACCCAUUGAUAACCCAUAAUCUAUAUUUUAAUUUAUUCAGUUAUUUAGCAGUAGUGCUCAUAUUUUAAACAAAUAUGUAACCAGUGUUAAUAUUUUAAACAAAAACUAGAUUUGGACCCGCGCAACUGCGCAGGUGUUAACAUUCAUUUUUAUUUAUAUAAUCAUUUUAUUUUUAUGUCGAAAAUGAUGUAUAUUCAAAUGUGUAUAUGAAUUUUUCAAAAGUAAGUAUGUGAUUACAUUUUCUUGUUUUCAUCAAAUUAACCAUUUCUAAAUGUAACAUGUAUUUGUAUCUUCUUUUAUAUAUUUUUGUUUGUUGAAUUAGUGUUUGAUUAUUGAACUCAUGAAUUUUUAUAAUCUAGUUUGGUAAAAUAUAAAAUUAUUUUUAUUUCCAAAGAUAUUGAAACAUUUCACAAAAACUUAAAUCAAACAUAUAUUUUUGUUUGUUGAAUUAGUGUUUGAUUAUUGAACUCAUGAUUUUUUAAAAUCUAGUUUGGUAACAUAUAGAAUUAUUUUUAUUUUCAAAGAUAUUGAAAUAUUUCACAAAAAACUGAAGUCAAACAAAAUAAAACUUAUAUCUCUUAUAUUAUAAUUAUAAGAUAAAUCAAUGAAAUAUAUAUUUUGUUUUUGUUAUUUUUACACAAAAAUGAACUAUCUUUUAUUCAACAAAUAACAUUGACAUAUAUUUUAAAUGACUUAUAGAUAUAUCUUAAAAAUACGUUAGAAUCUUUUUUUCUCAAAUUUUUAAUAACUUAUCUUCUUGAGUUAAAUUAAAAAAUCAAACAAAAUCAGAGAUUAAAUUGGAGAUUGUAAUAUGGGCCACUAUAGUCUAUGAUCCAAGUAAUGAGUCCAUUAGAUUUCAGUUACCUAUUUUUUUCCGGGAACAAAACAAACUUUUUGUGAUAAUACACGCGACUAUUCCUAAUGUCUUCACAAACCUGAUCUCAGUCUUCGUUUAUGUCUUCCUCAGCAAAUCGUUAAACAUAUAUACAGAUCACUUUUCAUUUGAAUCUAAACGGAAGAAGUUUUUGAAGAUCAUCACUAACUAACUCUUAUCUACAAAGGUUUGGAGUUUAUUUUAAUUUUAUCUAACUACCGAUUUAUAUUUUAGAUGAUUUUAGGGUUUUGUUAUGUUCAAUCACAAACUGAUUGAUUCUAAAUGAAUCAUACAGAUCGGCGUUUAUAUGAAAUUGGAGAAGCAACAACGAAGAUCGGUUAGUGGGUGAUCAAGCUUAGUUCCUGAGAUCAAAAAUCUGUUCAAUAAAAGUCUUGGAACCUCAAUUGUGUUCGGGGGAGAGGAAUAACAGAGACAGAGCUCAAAAUAGACAGGUACUUUAAUAUACUCAGUUGAUAUUGAUCUGUUUUGGAGCUUCAGCGUAGGAUAAUCUCAAGUUAAUGAAGAAAUAUAAAACAGUUGAGCUCUGUUUCAUAUUCUUAAGCUCUGUUUUGUUCACUCUGCAGAGAAUCAUCUUGACGAUAACGGAAAUGGAAGAUACCAGCAAAUUCAUUAUAAUGCAGAGGAACUGUCGAAUGAUCUUCAGAUCAAGAAACAGAGCUCAACAUCUUACCCACUGGAAAGUCUCGUACAUGGUUUAGUUGUGCAGAGAAACUUUUGUCCAGUCGUGAGGAAUGAUAUUGCGAGGUGUAGAUAUUAAUUUCUCGAACUGCACAACCGAUUGAUUUCGUCAUUGAACAUUUUGUGCGCAACCGAUAUAUUUCGUCAAGCUAACAGAUAUAUUAUACAAACUGUUUCGCAGGACGCGUUUGCGCGGAUUCAAAAAUGUGAGGUCGAUAGUAAAGAGGCUCCAAGGAAAGGCAAGGAUCAUUACACUUUGUUAAUGAUCGCCAUCUCAACAACCAAUAUUUGAGCUUUGAAAUGUUUUUUACACCAUUGUUAAUGAUCGCCAUCUCAACAACCAAUAUUUGAGCUUUGAAAUGUUUUUUACUUGGUGUAUUUUGUUGCAGGAAAGCAGUUCCGCUUAUCGGAUAACUGAAGAAUGUUAGAUGGAAAUCACCAAGUGCUGGAAUAAUCAUGCUACUUGUCACUUAAUUCAUGGAAACAGCAGGUGAACUAUACAAAUUGUUUUUCCAGACUUUUAUUGAUUAAUAAUUAAGACAAUAUAGAUUAACUACUAAGAUUAAGUACUUAAAGUAGAUUAAAUAUUGAUUAAUUACUAAGACAAUAUUUCUUUGUUUCAGGAAUGAUAUUGAUAACAAUGAAUUGUAGAAAAGACUCCAUCAUAACUCAGCCACUUGACUCUCACUACUCGAUAAGUCGGGUUAGCUUUUUAGAACCAUUUAUCAUAUGAAUAGUAUAUCUAAGUGUUUUGGUUAGAUAAGAAGGGAACCAGCCGUUAGAUUAGAACCAUCUACAUUUUCCUAGUAUAUCUAAGUGGUUUGGUUAGAUAAGAAGUGAUGUACAACAGAUUCAUUGGUUUAUUGUUUUGUUGCUGUGAGUUGAUUGAAGUUUUCAUAUGUUGGUUUUCUUGUUUUUAUUUCUUUGCUAUAGUUUUAACAUCUAGAAAAUGUAGAGAAAAAUGAUAAGCUAUAUCAAAAACAAUACAAAUCCGUAAAUAAGUUGAAAACAGCUUAAAGAAACUCAAGUACGAUAAAGAACUUCCUCCUCUCUUCUCAUCCUUAGCAUAAAUCUGAAAAACACAUCACGUUUCAAAGAUAUUUUUAAAUUAUGAUCUUAACAUAUAGUAAUAAACAGUAAAUGAUGGAGAGCUUAAAUAAAUACCUCAUCAUGACUCCUUGGCUUAUAGAUUAUUGAAAACCUCUUUGAAAACAACAUUGACAGUCUUAUGCUGAGGUUUUCCAUCUUUGUCCACAAUAAGAAUUUUCAACCAUUUCUUCGACGUGACCCUAGAAAUAGCUACGUAGAGCUGUCCGUGUGAAAACACAGGUCUAGGUAGGAAGAGUCCAACUUCUGAAAGAGACUGCCCUUGACUUUUGUUUAUUGUUAUAGCAAAAGCAACAGCUAAAGGCAAUUGCCUUCGACGCAUUUUGAAAGGCAGUCUCGUAUCAGAUGGUGUUAUCAAUAAUCUAGGAAUAUAGACUGUCUUCCCAACAUUAGAUCCAGUGAUAAUCUUAGCGGCAACCAUAAAUUCCAUCAGCUGAGUAAUCUGUAGCCUUGUUCCGUUCAUUAACCCUUCUGGAGGAUCAACAUUCCUGAGAACCAUAACUGGGCAACCAACUUUCAGGCGAAGUCUAUGAUUCGGCAAUCCAGACACUUUAAUAUUGUUUAGAAAAUCUGAGUCAAGUGCUUCAUCAUUCACUGCUUUUGUAUCAGUAGGAUCAAUACUAUCUGCACUGAGAUAAAUCGUUUCCUCACCUAAAAAAAAAAUAAAACAUAAGAUGUAGUUAGUGUAUAUAAGAAACAGUAAAUUUGGGAUCUAAAAUCAAUCACAAAAAGGUGAUAAUAUAAAUUACCAUCCAGCUUAUCCAACAUGUAAUCAUUGAUCAUGUUAACAUCCUCAUUGGUUGGACACAAAAUAGCUCUCUCUUGGAAAAAUUUAGCUUCUUUGUUUCCUUUCAACGAAGAAGGAUCUCCGUACACUGCCUUGCUAAUGGCCUCUAUUGGUUCAUCAGAAUCAGUAAUCAAAAAUUCAGAGGGGAUCUCGAUCUUAGCUACUCCAUCGUUAGGCUCUCCAAGUGUACCAUCACCAACCUUUAAGAUCCACUCAGAGAAUUCCUUUAGAUCAUUCGACUCUUCAGCUGACAAACCACCAGAUGAUAAUCGCAUGUUCUUAGUUAAUUUCAGCACUUUACAAUGCUCCCACAGAUACGAAGAAUUCAUUGAAGCCAUAACGAUGGCAGCUCUACUACCGCCAUUUAUUACUGGGAGCACUUGUCUGAAAUUGCCUCCGAAAACUACAACCUUUCCACCAAAAGGCUUGUCGCUAUGCUUCCCAAUAAUAUCAGAUAAGCUUCUAUCUAGUGCCUCAAAACAAUACCUACUCAUCAUGGGGGCUUCAUCCCAUAUAAUCAGUGAUGCCUCUUUCACCAAAUUAGCUUGAUCUGAUCCAUGAGCCAUAGUACACGAAGAAAACUCAUCUGGAUUAAGUGGUAUCCCAAACCUUGAAUGAGCAGUCCUACCACCUUGUAACAACAAAUAAGCAAUCCCACUCGAUGCAACAUUAAGAGCAAUAUCUCCUCGCGAUCUAACGCCUGCAGAUAGUAAUUUCCAGAGAAAAGUUUUCCCAGUGCCACCAAAUCCAGACACAAAAAACAUUCCACCUCUUUCCUUGUUAACAGCCUCUAGGAUUUCAUCAUAUAUUUUUCUUUGCUCUGGAGUCAUCUUUGGAAUAGAGACCAGAGUUUCUAACAAAGCCUCACGAUCAUAGCUUCUCUCGUCUAAUAUCAACACAUUUGAAUCCUUACUAUGUGUCUUUGCUACCUGUGGCAUAGAAGGAUAUUUUGCCAAAGAAGUCCCACAACGCUUCAGAAUCUUUUCAAUCUCCAGAAAGGCGAAUUUCUUUUUCUCAUCGUCACUUAACAAUAGUCCUACAACAGAAAUUUAUCUAUUUAAAAAAGACAGAAAAAGUAUGUAACAUUUUGCUAGAAAAUCAAAUAAUACACGAAAAUAGUGAAGUAAAACUACCUGGCCUAUUGAAAGUUUUACGCCUGUGAUGCUCAAUAUCAUCUGAAAGACAUUCCCAAUUCUUCUCCCAAACAUCCUCUGGCCCAGAUAAACUGUUGUUCAUGAGCAUCAUAACAAACUAUUGUCUUAGUUCAGCUCAUGUGCUUUCAUAGCUUCUCCUCAGAAUAUCAUCAAUGUACUCUUGAUCAUCAUCUAACAAUCCUCGAGCAUAACAUGCAUCUUUGUAGCUUGGAUAAACAACACCUUCAAACGUUUUGAUGUCAUCAUAACUCGUAGGACCUCUCACAUAGUUCAACAACACACAGAGAUAAUAAGCAUGUUCUUGAUUACGUGGAGCAUAGUUGAUUCGGCCAACACUGAAUCCCCUUUUCCGUCUUAUGAACUUCUUCUGACUCUUUGAAUAUGUAAAGAAGUUAGGAAUCUGAGCAUAGGUGAGAGUUUUAGCCAGAUCAUCAACUUUACACAACUCAAACCAUGCUAAGAACAUUGUAUUCUCAAUGAGUUUACGACUGAUCAGUGCUUCCAACUUGUCUUUUUUUUGAAAAUAAUGGUUUGUUUGCCUGGCAGAUGGAAAUUAAGCUUCUCAACUGUAGUAGACCUGUAAUGAAUGGGGAACUUAAAAAUUCUCCAUGAUCUUUCAGACGAAGAAACAUAUCUACAAUACCAAACAAAACAGAUUUUAUUAGUAUUUUUAUAUUAUGUACUGAUUCAAAUAAAUUCAGUUGUAUAGUUAAAAAAGAAAAAAAAAUACAUGCAAUCAAAGAACUCCUUGAAUUCAUUCCCUUUUUUUGGGUCCACUUCUCCUUCUGCACAACCAAGCGCCUCUGCAACCAUGUGAUCUGGUGGUUCCACCAACAACUGUCACACGAUAAUGUACUUAAAUAAGUACUUUAUAGAACCAACCUGGUUGCACCACUCUACAUUAAUAUGAGCUCGAUAACGUAGAAAUAGUUUCUUGUUAUAAGGAAUAACAAAUCUGUUGUCACAUUUCACCCCAUUCUUCUCUACAAAACGAUCUGUAUCUUCUCUUCUACGGUAAAUCGGAAAUCCUUCUUUACUCACUGUUGUCUUAUCAGCAAAUGAUUUCGGGUAAAGCUUCGAACAUUUCCCAUUUUCCAUGCAAGGAGAUUUCAUAUUAGCAGCUCCACAUGGUCCAUGAAUCAUCAUAUCCUUAAUGAUAUCGUACAACUCUGGUUCUUGAGACUUAUCAGGAAUCUCAGCUGAAAUUAUCUUGCCAAUAUCAUCUGUUGUGGGAAUCUUGGCCGUAGGAUGAAUGUGAGCAUGUGGUAGACCACGUUUCUGAAACUCAAUCGUGUACAUAGCUGCAACGAUCAGACAACAAUCACUUGUUUAGUAAAUAGUUGAAAAUAUAAAGACAUAUGAUCAAGAAAGCUGAAUAUUUAACUCACAUGAUACAAUUUUGCCAAGGAUAUUCUUCUUAUUUAAAUCAUCCAUCAAUGAGUCCAGUUUUAUUUUGAACAUCCUGCAAAUGAUGUCUGAUCUGUCUUCUGCCUUUAAAUUUCGUUUCUUAAGAUGUCUUGUGAUCUCUGGCCAUUUAGGAUUGCAUGUAAAAGUGAUGAAAAGAUCAGAAAAACCAAAAUGCUUACAUAUAGUCAUUGCAUCCAGAUAGAGGUUUUUCAUAUAUCUAGGACCACCAGUGAACGUAGCUGGUAAGAGAAACGAAGAUCCUUGCUCGGCCAUAUCAAUCCUGCCAGCAUUUUCUGACUCUUUGAUAGAGUCAUAACUAUCAUAACGCAAACUCGUCUGGUGAGUCUUCAGAUAGCGUAGGCGAUUGGAUUCUAUAGUUGUGUAGGCAUCCACAACAAACUGCUGAAACAACCUUCCUGAAUUUAGGAUAGUAUGAGCCUCAUUCUUACAUUCAUGCAAACGAAACGCAAAGAACUGCCGGAUGCUGAUAUUUUCCUUUUUCUGUUUCUCCGUAGCUUUAGUAACACCUUUCUUUAUCCCAAGUCUGAAACCAUCCUCUCCAUGUACAAAUAAAAGAGGAUAUUGAAGUGCAAGAUAUGAAGCAUGUAUUUCAUCGAUCCUUAGCAACUUGCCUGAUUUCUGUUGAAGAACAAUAUCUCUUUUAUCCAUGUCCAGAUUAAAAUCUCCAGGAAUCAGUGCAGCAACUUCUGAUGCUGUGGGUGUGUCAUAGGUUCUUCCAUCCUUUGCUCUAUCACUGACUAUCCUCAUGUGAAAAGAGUCUUUAGGAUUGAUGGUGAAACGAUCUUUUGCUGACCUGAACUGUUUAACGUAAGGGUUGGUCUCAUUCAACAUCUUUAUCAGAAGGUCAAUGAUCUCCUUCUUAAGUCCAUCACGUUUUUUAUAAGCUUUCUUUUGCCCCCCUUUGCUGUAAAAAAUAAAAAAUAAAAUGGUUCAGAUUAAUAGUCACAGUAAAUGUAUCUUCUCUAUUAAAAAAAAGUAUAUUCAAAUAGUUACCUUAAAGCAUUUGUUCGAUUUUCUGUUUCAUUUUCAGUGUCAACGAUAUAAAGCUGUCCAAACUUAGCAUCAUUUCCAGUAGGUGGUUGUAAACUACCAAUUAAAUGGUAAUUCUCACCUUGGAGUACCAACAUGUUUGGACCUUUUCCCUUCCGAACAGCUCUAUCAACCUUUCCACCAAGUGAAGUGAAUGAGAACACCAUGUUGUAAGCUCUUGUGUUUCUCUGAAAAUGCUUGCUUAAUUUAUCAUCUCUAUUCAGCAAAUUUUGUAGCACUUCUGGUGGUUGUUUUAGUAAUGGUAACUGCACUUGUCCUUGCAUACAACAGAGAGCAAACUUAGGGUUGCGUGUUUUUAGACGCCUGUUUAAGCGUUCACCAAACCACAUAAUAGCUCCACAGUAAGUACAUGUGAAAGUAGCAUCCCCUUCAUCUAUAUAAGCUGUAGAUACCAUAAAAAAAUAAGUAUGUCAAAAUUGUUUUUCUAAAUAUCAUAUGCAAGUAAAUCGGUAUAUAUUACCAUCUUCUUUUGGUUUAGUUUUUUUAGAUGGUUUUUCUGUAGCACGAAAUGCUUCUUCAAAAAGUGAUGCUAGAGAUUUAACUCUGUUCCUGGCCGGUAUGCUAUUUGGCUCCUUAGUGACUGUUAAAUCAACAACUUCAAUUUCUGGAUCGGAUUCUUCAUCUGUGUUUUCUUGUGAACUACAGUCAAGAUUUUCUUGAAAAUUUCCAUCAAAUCUAUCUGCAUUCACACAAAACAUGAUAAUGUUAAUACAGUAAACGUAUACAAACGGUAUUAAAUAGUAUAUAGAUAGAGAAACUAAGUUAAACUAUAACCUUCAAAGUCUGAAUCAUAAGCUACUGCAUUACCAUCCUCUUCACUUUCAUCACCACUAGUUUCAUCCAGACGAUCCAUAAAACUGCAUAUAUUAGUUUUGUCUUGUAAGCCAGAACGUAGUCUCUUUCUGAUGCCAGCUUUGUCUACCAAAGCAAUACAAAAAAAAAAAAGUGUUUUGUCUCUGAAUAUCUUUCAUACGAUUUACAGUCACUGUCGUAAUGAUAUCUAUAAUUACAUGCUACAGAUGUGAGACAACUUCUCUGUAAAGUUCCAUAUGAAGCUUGUCCAGUUCCACAAUCCAUACCUUAGAAUGAUAAACAUAUAGUUUUGGUUAGAUUCAAAUGGACAAUGGUUUACUUGCUCAACUAUUUUUUUUAUUCAUUAAAUUUUCAUGAUAUGUAAACAAACAUAUUGAUUUCCUCAAGACUGGGUUCUAUAAUUUAAUUGUUUCCGUAUAUUGUUUAGAAUAUUUUUUAACUUGACAAAUAUGGCAUUUCUAAUAUCAUAUUACCCGAUUAAAUUAAACAUAUAUUUUAAUGUGUAUUAAUUCAUAUAUUGUAUUUUUUUUUGGUUCCGAAGAUCAUAUUGACAAUGUACUGUGGCUUGCUGACUGGAAUAAACAGGAAACUUCCUAAGUGCAUAGAGAUUUAUAGAUUUAUAUGUCUCUAGAAAAUAUUUUUUAAUAAUGUCUUUUAUUUAAUAUAAAGAUUACUAAUGAUUGAAAUAAUGUGAUCAACUCUAGUAGAUAGUUCAUUUUUUUUAAAAUCACACAUGAAUGAGAAGUCAUGACUUCUGUUUUAAUAUAUAAGAUAGGUCUAAUGUGAGCAACUUUUCUAAUUACGGGACCCCUACAGCUUAUCAAUAUAUUCUCACUACGUCAUAUUAUUUGUAUUGUUCAAUGGUGUCCAUAAAAUUGUAUUAGUAUGUGCUUAUUAGACAAAAGAAUAAACAUUUUGUGUGAGAGAGACGACGGAACUUAUUCGACCACAAAUACUCUGCGGGUGCAACUGGAUUAUCAAUUUAAUUAAUAUUUGGAAUAAAAUGAUACAAAAUGGCUUAUUCCAUUAAUUCAAAAAAAAAGUAUUUAUUUUGAAUGGAAUAAAAUGGUCAUUUUAACAAUUCCAUAAAUAAACAAAUUAUAAAAAGAAUUAUUCCAUAGAAAAAAUGAUAAAGAAUUAAUAGAAUUGGUCUAUUCUAUUUCUUCUCUACAUUAUAUUAAUUUUCAUUCAUCAAUCCAUAAAUAUGUAAACCAGUUACAACAUGCAUGUUUUACGCAGAAUUUAAGAUUUUUAAUAUAAUAUAUGCCUCAAAAGCAUUUUUCGCUGUUAUUGAAGUCUAUGACACUUUUUAAUAUUUUUAAUGUAUUAAUAAAAUUGUACUUGUUCAAAAUUGUGGCAUCUGAGUUGAUGAUUUGUACUACUAUCAUCGUCGUGUUAUUACUUUAAAAUUUUAAUUUAAAGGUUGAGAAUGUGUGACUUGCAGAUGAAAAAAUAGAAUUUGAGGUUACAUAUUAUUUUGUACUAGAUACUUUAUUAUUUUUCUUAUCCUUUUUCAUUUUCUUCUGGUGAAAUUAAAAUAUCAAAUUUUAGAUUUAUUGAAAAUUUAGAUGCGUUUCAUUCAGAAAAAAGGUAGGUGAGCAAACUACUAUUACACUCACUUUGAAGAAUUUGUUAAAAGAUGAAAAAAAACUCAGGUUUAAAAUUGAGUUUUUUAAGAUUAUCGUCCAUAAAAAUGUGAUACUUGCAAAUUGAAUUGGUUUAAGAUUUUAACAUAAUAGUAACACGAUACGUAACCAAUUAUUUAAUUGUAUGUACUUGUAGACAAGCUACGACAAUAAUUUUUUUUCUUUUUUAAAAAAGAGAAUGAGAGAGGUAGAUUAAUUAAAAUCACCGUCCGCUAUAUGUUAAUCGAGGAUCUUUUAAAAAAUUAGAAUCUUAAUUUUGUAUCAAUUAAAAAAAAUCAUCUUAUGUGGCACUUCUAAAUGUAUUUUAAAUCAUAUUUCUAAAAAUUCUAUAGCACAUAAUAUAAACCAUAAUUUAAUAUAACGUUGUCACAUAGUUUGGAACAAGACUUAGGUUCACCCCUAUGCUGAACCUUUAAAUUCACCUCAUUUUUUAUUACCAAUCAAAAUACCACCUAAAUUAAUAAUAAAAUAGAUUAAUUUUAUUUAAAAAAAUAUCAAAUAAUUGAAAAAAAAUAAUAAUUGAAAAAAAUAAUAACGUCAAUUUUAAAGAUGCUAAAGCCACUAACUAAACCUAAACUUUAAAUCUAUACUCUAAACCCUAAACCCUAAACCCAAACCAUAAACCCUAAACUCAAACCCUAUAUCCUAAACCCAAAUCUUAAACCGUAAACUCUAAACCCAAACUCUAUAUCCUAAACCCAAAUCAUAGACUAUAAACUCAAACCUUAUAUCCAAACCUAAUCCCUACGCCCUAAACUCAAAUCGUAAACUCUGAACCCAAAUCCUAUAUCCUAAAGGUUUGGGUUAAUGUUGAUGUUGUUUCUUUAGGGUUUAAGAUUUGGGUUUAGAGUCUAGGUUUGGGUUUAGGAUAUAGGGUUUGAGUUAAAGGUCUAGGGUUUGGGUUUAGAGUUUACGGUUUGGGUUUAGGGUUUAGGAUUUGGAUUUAAGAUAUAGCGUUUGGGUUUAGAAUUUAGGGUUUAGGGUUUAGAAUUUAGGGUUUAUGAUUUAGAAUUUAGAGUUUAGUUAGUGGCGUUAGAAUGAGUGUCAUUAUUUUUUUUCAAUUAUUUUAGAUUUUUUUUUUAAAUAAUAUAUUUUAUUAUUAAUUUAUGUGGCAUUUUGAUUGGUAAUAAGAGGAGAGGUGAAUUUAAAGAUUCACCGUAGGCGUGAACCUAAGUUUUGUUAUUUCCAUAAUAUAGUGUUAUCUAUUCUUUCUUUAAAUGAAACCUACGGAAUUACAUAAUCUGAUUAAAAUAUAUAUGGCAAUUAAUGAUUUUAAAUAAUAAAGAUUUGAUAACAAUAUGUAUACUUUUAUCAUUUUUGUUUAUUUCUUUAUUAUUAAAACAAAUAACACAAUUACAUUAAUCAAAUAAAAAAUCUAGAUAUUUUUGUAUAAGUUGUGUUUUGAAUUUUUCGAAAAUUUACUCUCUGGUUUUUUUAUGAGAGUCUUCCUGGCCGAGCAGUGUAUCUUAACACCCUGAAACAAAAUAGAUCAUAAAACUUAGUACAUAGACAUAGUUAUUUAAAUCAUAAAGUACAUAAACAUAAACUAAAACAGAACAUAAAACGUAUAAAAAUAAUCUUACAGUUUCAUCUGUGAAUAUCAUCUCAAGGGUAUCUCCUCCAUAAUUGGUUUUCUGCCUCCAGGAGUGAAGCAACUUAACUUGGACUCGCCAGCCCUGUUUGUAGGGCUUGACGUCUUUUAGUAACGAAAAUGCUUGGAUCAUAGACAUAGCUCAAACUGUUUUAGUUUAGGUGAUGGUUGAGGUUAAGUGUAGUGCGUAAUAUAUAUAUAGAUCGCUAGGUUUGUUAGGGUAUUUAGGGAGAAUAUAUUGUGACUUUAUUCGCAAGGAAGAAAAUUAAUUGUAGAAAAUUUAAAAUCGGUUGUUAUAGUUACCUAUAUUGUAGAUAUUGAUAUAUUCAUUGUAAAUCUGGUAUCAAGUAUAUUAGAUCGAUGAUAUUGUUUAGGUUGUUAUGGAAAAUAAAAAAAAAUUUACGUGAUUCUGUUUCGAAAAUAUAGGAAACAAAUUGAGAAGGUCAGGGCAACAAUAAAUAUGUAAGCUUGAUCUCCAAGCUUUAAAAUAAAUGCUUAGAAUAUCCUAUAUGUUAGUACACUCACGAAAAUUAUAUAUUCUUUGAAAGUAGAUAUUGCUUUGAUUAGUUAUAACAGAAUAGGAAUUAAUCUUUAUUUAAUUUGAAUUGUUAACAGAAUAGAUGUAGAUAUCUAUUGUUGCAACUGAAUGUAGAUAUUCUAAAUUUCUUAUAGACGUUAACAACGGACCAACUUCAUCUUCUCCAAAUGCAUCAAUGUCUUCAGUAAAUUAUUAACAUAGUUUCAGAGCUUACAAUCCAAUAAUCUUUAGUAAAUGGUAAGACAACUAAAUGAACGUAAUUGUAUCAAGCGACCAUUAUUUUAAUAUUGUCUUCUGCUUUCAUUGAUUUGAAAAACAUAAAUGGACGUUAACAAUGGACCCACUUCAUCUUCUCCACACUAAUCAAUGUGUUCAGUAAAUUAUUAACAUAUGUUCAGAGCUUACGAUCAAAUAAUCUUUAGUAAAUAUUGUCUGCAAAUACAACACUACAAAAACACAAUGAUUAAACAAAUAAUCUGGAAAGACGUCUGUUCAUGUCAAACUUUACAUGAAAACCAAAAACUCUCGUGAGUUAUAGAGAGUUAUAUCUAAGUGCAUAGAGAUUUAUAGAUUUAUAUGUCUCUAGAAAAUAUUUUUUAAUAAUGUCUUUUAUUUAAUAUAAAGAUUACUAAUGAUUGAAAUAAUGUGAUCAACUCUAGUAGAUAGUUCAUUUUUUUUAAAAUCACACAUGAAUGAGAAGUCAUGACUUCUGUUUUAAUAUAUAAGAUAGGUCUAAUGUGAGCAACUUUUCUAAUUACGGGACCCCUACAGCUUAUCAAUAUAUUCUCACUACGUCAUAUUAUUUGUAUUGUUCAAUGGUGUCCAUAAAAUUGUAUUAGUAUGUGCUUAUUAGACAAAAGAAUAAACAUUUUGUGUGAGAGAGACGACGGAACUUAUUCGACCACAAAUACUCUGCGGGUGCAACUGGAUUAUCAAUUUAAUUAAUAUUUGGAAUAAAAUGAUACAAAAUGGCUUAUUCCAUUAAUUCAAAAAAAAAGUAUUUAUUUUGAAUGGAAUAAAAUGGUCAUUUUAACAAUUCCAUAAAUAAACAAAUUAUAAAAAGAAUUAUUCCAUAGAAAAAAUGAUAAAGAAUUAAUAGAAUUGGUCUAUUCUAUUUCUUCUCUACAUUAUAUUAAUUUUCAUUCAUCAAUCCAUAAAUAUGUAAACCAGUUACAACAUGCAUGUUUUACGCAGAAUUUAAGAUUUUUAAUAUAAUAUAUGCCUCAAAAGCAUUUUUCGCUGUUAUUGAAGUCUAUGACACUUUUUAAUAUUUUUAAUGUAUUAAUAAAAUUGUACUUGUUCAAAAUUGUGGCAUCUGAGUUGAUGAUUUGUACUACUAUCAUCGUCGUGUUAUUACUUUAAAAUUUUAAUUUAAAGGUUGAGAAUGUGUGACUUGCAGAUGAAAAAAUAGAAUUUGAGGUUACAUAUUAUUUUGUACUAGAUACUUUAUUAUUUUUCUUAUCCUUUUUCAUUUUCUUCUGGUGAAAUUAAAAUAUCAAAUUUUAGAUUUAUUGAAAAUUUAGAUGCGUUUCAUUCAGAAAAAAGGUAGGUGAGCAAACUACUAUUACACUCACUUUGAAGAAUUUGUUAAAAGAUGAAAAAAAACUCAGGUUUAAAAUUGAGUUUUUUAAGAUUAUCGUCCAUAAAAAUGUGAUACUUGCAAAUUGAAUUGGUUUAAGAUUUUAACAUAAUAGUAACACGAUACGUAACCAAUUAUUUAAUUGUAUGUACUUGUAGACAAGCUACGACAAUAAUUUUUUUUCUUUUUUAAAAAAGAGAAUGAGAGAGGUAGAUUAAUUAAAAUCACCGUCCGCUAUAUGUUAAUCGAGGAUCUUUUAAAAAAUUAGAAUCUUAAUUUUGUAUCAAUUAAAAAAAAUCAUCUUAUGUGGCACUUCUAAAUGUAUUUUAAAUCAUAUUUCUAAAAAUUCUAUAGCACAUAAUAUAAACCAUAAUUUAAUAUAACGUUGUCACAUAGUUUGGAACAAGACUUAGGUUCACCCCUAUGCUGAACCUUUAAAUUCACCUCAUUUUUUAUUACCAAUCAAAAUACCACCUAAAUUAAUAAUAAAAUAGAUUAAUUUUAUUUAAAAAAAUAUCAAAUAAUUGAAAAAAAAUAAUAAUUGAAAAAAAUAAUAACGUCAAUUUUAAAGAUGCUAAAGCCACUAACUAAACCUAAACUUUAAAUCUAUACUCUAAACCCUAAACCCUAAACCCAAACCAUAAACCCUAAACUCAAACCCUAUAUCCUAAACCCAAAUCUUAAACCGUAAACUCUAAACCCAAACUCUAUAUCCUAAACCCAAAUCAUAGACUAUAAACUCAAACCUUAUAUCCAAACCUAAUCCCUACGCCCUAAACUCAAAUCGUAAACUCUGAACCCAAAUCCUAUAUCCUAAAGGUUUGGGUUAAUGUUGAUGUUGUUUCUUUAGGGUUUAAGAUUUGGGUUUAGAGUCUAGGUUUGGGUUUAGGAUAUAGGGUUUGAGUUAAAGGUCUAGGGUUUGGGUUUAGAGUUUACGGUUUGGGUUUAGGGUUUAGGAUUUGGAUUUAAGAUAUAGCGUUUGGGUUUAGAAUUUAGGGUUUAGGGUUUAGAAUUUAGGGUUUAUGAUUUAGAAUUUAGAGUUUAGUUAGUGGCGUUAGAAUGAGUGUCAUUAUUUUUUUUCAAUUAUUUUAGAUUUUUUUUUUAAAUAAUAUAUUUUAUUAUUAAUUUAUGUGGCAUUUUGAUUGGUAAUAAGAGGAGAGGUGAAUUUAAAGAUUCACCGUAGGCGUGAACCUAAGUUUUGUUAUUUCCAUAAUAUAGUGUUAUCUUAUAUAUAUAUUUCAUAUCAUUUAAAUUAAAAUAUACAUCAUAACAAAAUACAUACUUAUAUUUUGAUAUUUGCAUUAAACAUAUAUUGAAAAGUUAAUAUCUUAAUUUUGAAAUAUUCAUUGUUUUUAUUAAAUGAUUAUAAAUUAUUGAAACUACUAAACAUCCCCAUUUAAAAAAAAAUCAUUGGUGUAAAAUUUUGCUACACAAAUAUGCAAAUAAUCAUAAAAUCAUAUAAGUAGAAACCUCAUUUAAUAAAUAUUCAUAUUAAAAGUAUACUAUAUAUCUAUGUUAAUAUUAUUUAAAUUUAAUUAUAUAUCAUAUACGAUAGAUAAGAUUGAUUGUUUUGAUUUAUUUACCCUAAAAUAAUUGCGAAUAAACAAAAAUGAUCGUUUGAUUUAUAUGCACACACUAAUUUAUUACAUAAUAGUAACUGAUUACUUAGUUAUUUAGUAUAUAUACUUAUUAUUUUAUUAUUUCAUAAUAUGCAGACAACAUAAAAUAAGUAAUAAAUAUAAAAUAUUUAUUGUGCAAAAGGUGCAGAUCUUAACCUAAGUUUGUAUCUCUUUAAUAAUUUUAAAUCUUAAACAUUGUGUAAAUCUUAGACCAAAACAAACAAACGAAAUGAGAAUAAACUCCAAAAUCAAUAUUUAUAUCGAGCAAUAACCAAAAUGAAAAACAGACACAAAAAAAAAUUGAAGAUACAUAUGAUUGACACAUGAACGUAAACUCCUCACGACCAUAAUUAACUUUUAAAUUUCUAAAUCAUGAUAUAAAACUAUGCUGACAUAGUUUCAUUGUAACCAAAUAGUAGACCUGAAAUUCUUCGGCCUAAACGUUAAAAACGUUAUUAUGCGAUAAAUAAUUUUUUGACCUAAAACAUUUUUAAAAAAUGGGAUCAACUCAUCUGUAUAUAAAUUAUUUAAUUAAUAAAAAGUGAAAAAAAAAUUAAAGGCCAAAAUAUUAAUUCGAUCAAAAAUAUAAAUUUAUUUUUUCAUACAAUAUUUUUUAAAUAAUUUUUAUAUAAAUUUUCUAUACGCAAGGCGCAGGUGUUAUGCUAUCCUAGUUCAUUAUCGUUUGAUAAACACAUGAACGUGAACCACACAUCAAUAUAUAACAACCAAUAAAAGCUUUUAAAUUAGACAAUGACAUGAUAAAUCAGUGUAUGCGAAUCUAAAGGAUGAAACUAAAUCCCAAACACACAGAAUGUAAACCCUGUUUUUAGUGUUAACGUUUUGCAAUAAGUCAAUAAUUUUUGAUGUAUAAAGAGAGAUAAAUUUCAUUUAAGGGAUUCCAAAAAGGUUAACAAACCCUACAAUCAUUUUAGUAUAGAUGUUUGAUGUUCGUUCAUCACAAAGAAAAACAUCACAAAUCUGUAACUAAAAAAUAAUGAAAUAUUAACUAAUUCAAAAUAAUAACAAACGUAACUUUAUUUCCUAUUUCAAUUAUAUAGAAAGCAAAAUUUAACCGAAAAGAUUUAGUAAAGAUAUAUACUAACUUCCAUAACUUCUACCAUGUAAGAUUUCAGAAUAAUUUGGGCAAUACUGUAUAUAUUAACCACACUAGAAGCUCAAAUCUAUAAUAUUAUAAUAACUUAGCUAGGUAACACUAUAUAUAUAUAUUAAAUUCUACUAUGUACAAUUUCAGAAUAAUUGGGCAACACCAUAUAUUAACCACACGUGUUCAAUUGAAUUCCUAUACUAUAGUAACUUACAUCCCUUAUUGUGAUUUCGUUUAACAGAUUUAUACCAUUACCAUUAAUGUAUAUCAUUUUAUUGACCAACAAAAGAAAUUUUCAACUAGGAAAUUCUCAGCUUAAGUUAAGAAAUGGCCUAUGUUAAAAUGAAAGAGUUAUAAAUUAUAUUACAUUAAUAGGAUAAAAAUUCUCUUAAAAUAAUAUAAAGGCUUAAGUUUAUUAUAUAUAUAUAUAUAUAAGUUUCCAACACAAAAAUUUUGAACGUUGAAAAAAUUAUAUAUAUUACAAAUUUUAAACAAUUCAGUUAAUAUAUUCUUAAAGAUAGUAGAAAUAAAUUAUUCGCGACUCCAAAAUUAUAGUCCUAAUAAAAAAAUUAAAUUAAACAAUGCACAUUGCACACAAAGAUAAUCAUAAAUUUGUACUUAACCUAAAAAUAGAUAAAGUGUACUAAAAUAUAAUUUAUUUAAAUUAUAUAAAAUAUAUAAAUCAUCUAAAAAAAAUUUCAAAAAAAAAUGUUUCUCGAUCAAAAAACAAUUCCGCGCUUUUAAAGCGCAUGUCAAAAUCUAGCAUAUUUUAAAACUAAGAUAUGUUUAAUGUUCAAAAUAUUCAACCAUGUGCAAAUGACUUGGAGAUCGAAAAAUAUCUCAUUAUUUUGAUUUUGUUGUCAUGGUCGAUGGUUAACUCCACGUAACAAGUUGCAAAUAAUACUAUACGUAGUAACAAUAUCUAAUGUACUUUAAUUACAAAGUUGGUCAACUGUAGUGUGAAACUAGAGAUAAGAUAUGAACCAGAUUUCAUAUAUACAAAAAAUCAUAUAUACGGUCUUUAACAUUACUACUUACAUGGACCAUUGUAGUAUAUAUUAUAUAAACAUUACAUGAACAUUUUUUAUUGAAAGUAUUAAUUGUUUUGUCAUGUACUUGAUAAUAUAUGUAUUUCCAUUUUAAAUUUUCACUCGACCAAUAAAUUUCUUUUACUUUUUUAAACCAUAUAGUUUCAGUUCUUCUGUUUUGACUAUACUAGUUACAUCUGUAAUUAGACUCCAAUAUUCAGAUCUCAUGUUUCCUUUCUAUCUAAUUUUUUUUUUUUUUUUUGAAACACUUCCUUUAUAUCUAUUUAUUUUUCAGUUUCUAGAAAACAAACUUAACUCAUUAGACCAAAAAAAAAAAACAAACUUAACUCCUCUCUCACAAUAAAAAAAACGAAAAACAAAGUUACAAAAUAAGAGAACAAACACGCACAUGUGCAAAAGUGCAACUCAGUCCAACAGAAAAGUCAAAGGUCAUGCAUUCCCUUAUAAAUAAGUAAGCACAUACAUUUCAAAUUCAAAAAAGUAAAAACAACAAAUCAAAUCACGUAUUUCACAAUGUGUACGUCUAAAACCAUAGUUCUUGCUCUCUUCGUUGCAACACUCAUGGCGUCUUGCAACGCGGCCACAAUAGCCACACCACAGCCACCGUUCCCGGCAAUUCUAAUCUUCGGGGACUCAACCGCAGACACAGGCAAUAACAACUACCAUUCACAGGCUGUCUUCAAGGCUAAGCAUCUCCCUUACGGCGUUGAUCUCCCCGGUCAUGAAGCUAACGGAAGGUUCUCUAAUGGAAAGCUGAUCUCUGAUGUUAUAGCCUCCAAACUUCACAUCAAAGAGUUUGUUCGUUUCUACAACCUAACAUCUCCGACCAAGACAUUGUUACUGGAGUCUGUUUCGCAUCUGCUGGUGCGGGUUAUGAUGAUCGUACCUCGCUCUCGAGCAAGGCGAUCCCGGUCUCAAAACAACCAAGCAUGUUCAAGGAUUACAUUGCUCGUCUCAAAGGUAUCGUAGGAGACAAGAAAGCGAUGGAAAUAAUUAAUAAUGCUUUAGUGGUCAUAAGCGCAGGAUCUAACGAUUUCAUCUGGAACUUUUAUGAUAUUCCCACUAGGCGUCUUGAGUAUCCUGAUAUCUAUGGUUACCAAGAGUUUGUUCUCAAGAGGCUUGACGGUUUUGUAAGGGUAAUGUUUUCUAUGUGUCAUUAAUAUAUAUUCAAACUAUUUUCUAUAUUUAUCACGUUGAUUUUCUCAAUUUUUUUCCUCUUAUUUUGUGCAGGAACUUUAUAGUUUAGGUAGCCGGAAUAUAGUUGUCGGAGGGUUGCCGCCAAUGGGAUGUUUACCGGUCCAAAUGACCACGAAAAUGAGAAAUGUUAUGAGAUUUUGUGUGGAACAAGAGAACACGGACUCAGUUUUGUACAAUCAAAAACUUGUGAAGAAACUGCCUGAGAUUGAAGCGUCUCUACCAGGAAGCAAGUUCCUUUACGCCAACGUAUAUGACCCUGUGAUGGAUAUGAUCCAAAACCCUAGCAAAUAUGGUAUGUAUCACUUCUUCCUUGUCUCGCAAGUCAUUAAAAUAUUCUCUUAUUAAGUUAAAUGCAAUUCAUUUCAUGGUUGUAAAAAUGAAAACAGGGUUCAAGGUGACGAAAAAAGGAUGUUGUGGGACAGGGUACUUAGAAACGGGCUUCAUGUGUAAUGUCAUUUCAAAGACAUGUCCGAACCAUUCGGAUCACUUGUUUUGGGACUCAAUUCAUCCCUCGGAAGCUGCUUACAAAUACCUAGGAAACUUUGUUGAUGCUCAGAUUCGAGGGUGGCUUAAGACGUAAGUCACUACAAUUUUCAAAAUGUAUUUUAGUCUUGGAUAUGACCAAGGCACACAUAUGCCCCUAUGGAGAUAUAUGUAUCGAAUGGAAUGGGUGCUGUAUUUCGAACUAUGAUUGGAGUUUCUUAUAUAUAAUUGAUACCCUCGUAAAUAAAUACCAUAUCGUAAAAAAUAUUCUCACGUUGCUUUUUUGCAUAGGUUACAAAGAUUUUAAUACGUAAUCAUGAAGUGAGUAGGUUGACUUUCUAAAUCACCGGAUUACUUGGAUCGUAUUGGCUCGACUACGGGGUCAUAUCACAUUUAUACUAUUAUUUACAAAAUAAUUUUUUUGAACUUUCACGUUAAAAGUUAGAGCGAUAAAAGUCAAUGAUAUCUUUAAUGAAUUUUUACAUAUAAUUUAUUUUAUAGUGAAAAACGAAUUUUAUAUUAACUAUUUUAGAUUUAUAUGUUAUGUUAGAUCAUUUAUAAAAAAUAGAUUUUUAAAAUCAGAUAAUUCUUAUAUGUAUUGUGUUGUUAUCUAUAAAUAAUAUUUUCUAUUAUAAAAGUUAAAAUUAAAAUCAUUUAUAAUUAAAUAUUAAUCAAACAAAAACAUUUGUAUAAAGAUAUUUUCUAAUGUGUGAGUUUUUAAAAAUUUAAACACAAUAAUAAGCAUAUAUAUAUAGAGAUAAUUGAUGAAAAACAUUGUCAUAUGAUGUUUGAUUUAAAAUUUUCAGAGAUACAAAUAAUAACUUAUCAAGCUGAUUUUUGACUUAAUAAAACAUAAAAGUAAUAAAUAUUCGUAAAAAAAUUAUGCCCACAUAUGCGGUCAAAACAUGUAGUUUUUAUAAAAUAAUAUGAGGUUUUAUAUGGGAAAUCGACAAAUCACUUGUUAACUGAAUUAAGCUAAAAAUUCAUGACACUCAACAUGCUAUCCAAGUCCAACCUCCCGUAUAGAUAUGUUACCAAAUAGAAAAAGAAAUUGAAGAGCUAUUUUCUAAUUACAUGAAGAGUUCUCAAUUAAUUAUGAGUGAACAGUUUUGUAAAGGAUUAUCUGGUGCACAAAAAAAGAAGUAAAGGAUUAAUCUAUGAUGAAUAGUUCAUCUAAGAACAGAUUAACCCAUGACCACUAAUUUUAUCUACACUACAUAUAUGAUAAACAUCUUUACUACUCCCACUGUUCAUCUUUCAAAAAAUGGAACAGUGUUUGAUAUUAGUGUUGGUAUAUCUGUAGGAUAACAUUUUAACAAUUUGAAACGGGGGAGAGAAUUAUUCAAAGCUAUUGUGUGUGUUGCUAGGCAAAACAUGAGCUAUAUAAGCCUUUAGGUAAUGCCCGGGAUUAAGAAGACAUUAAUGUAACUAUUACUACACUCUCUGUUUUAUUUUAAUAAUUUAGAUUUGGACACAUAGAUUAAAAAACAUUUAAUUUAGUAUAUUUACUAAAUAAAAAUAUCAUCGUUGUCAAAAAAAAAAAAAAAAAAAAAAAAAAAAAAAAAAAAAAAAAAAAAAAAAAAAAAAAAAAAAAAAAAAAAAAAAAAAAAAAAAAAAAAAAAAAAAAAAAAAAAAAAAAAAAAAAAAAAAAAAAAAAAAAAAAAAAAAAAAAAAAAAAAAAAAAAAAAAAAAAAAAAAAAAAAAAAAAAAAAAAAAAAAAAAAAAUAUCAUUACCAAUACAUAUAAUCAUAUUUCAACCAAUAACAAAAUAAAUUAGAAUAUAAAAUUAAUAAAUUUUACAUUGAAAUUUUUUAAAAAAAAUUAUUUUAAAACGAAAAUUUAACUCUAAAAACGAAAAUUUAACUGUACAGACGAAAGAUUGUGGGCUAUGCGUAAUCAAACAUAAGUUUGUGGGGCUCUGCGUAAUCAAACAUCAGAUAGUAGUAGUACUAUAGUACUAGUAGUUUAUGUAACUGCGUCAUGUGAUGCCUCUGGAACUCUGUUAGAGAUAUAAAUAGAUUCUCCUACGGUUGUCAUUAAUUUAAUUGAUCAAUUAAUUCCCUUAACUAAUAGACUGAACCACAUUAAAAAUUUGUUGAUUAAUUAAAAAAUUUGAAUCAGUACCUGGGAAAGCUCGUUGCUUAAUUUAUAUAUUAGUCAACGCCUUCAUUUACUGUUAAUCUAACAAAAUAGUAGUAUACGUGAUUUAAUAAGCUCAUAACUUAUGUGCUCGAGUCUCAGAUAAAUUAAUACUUCAAUUUACCAAGACUUUAUCUCUGGUUCUUUGUUCCCUGUAAAUUUUGUCGUGGUUGAUGUGGAUUUAUAUUAAUUUAAAUGAUGUAGAUCUAUUAUUUGUUCUCUUCUCGAUCUAUGUUUUGAAACUAGUUAAGCAUGGUAUAAAAAAAAGGAAUCCACGAAGCAAACCUUACAUCUAACGCGAAAGCAAAUGUCACCUCCUACCAAAAAUGUAAUCUAAUAGACAACUUUAUAAUUUUAUUUUUAAUACAAAAAUUCAUAUUUGAUUGUAUCAUUUUGAACCGUUCUGUGAAAAUUCACAUAUAAACGAUUUUUUUUACCAUGUUAAAAAUCUCUUAUAAAAUUCAUAUCAACUAAUUUGCAUAGUUGUUGACAAAUCGAUUCUACUGUAAUUCAAAAUUCAAAAUUUUUAGUUUUAAAAAAAUUAAUAAACAUUAAAUUAGACAACUUGACCAAGGUUUAAUAAAUAACUAUUAAAUCUAUUUGAAAUUUUAAGUCACAUGUAUAAAUAUGUUUAAAAUUUAAUAAAGUCAUACAUAAUGUAGUUACCGUGUGCAUGAGGGUUGAAUUUUUCUCGUGGAUGAAUAUUGUUUAUGAAAAGACUAUUAUAAUAACAUCAGUAAUUGAGCUCCGUAUGCCACCCUUGGAUUCCAUACAACCUAACAGUAAGAAAUGUGAAGUUAUACAUCAAAAUGCAUAUCUAUUUCAUUGUAAGUUUUUACAGAUGAACUUAGAGUACAAAGUCUUGUACGUGUCUUGCUUGCAUCACACUCAUUUAUGGUAACGUUUCAAAGAAUUUGCAAAUUGAUGUAUAGAUUAUAUAUCUAACGGCGCAAAAUCAGGCUAUGAGUAAUUUGUAGAAAACAAAACCGUGAGAUAUUGACAGAAACAAAAUGACUGAGCAAAACGAAAUAAGUAAGAUAUUAUUUAAUCGUCUGAUAAGUUAUAAAUUACGGGCCAUCAAAGCAAAAGUGAAUGUACGUAAUGCAACUUUUAAUCUACAUGAAAUAAAAGCAAAACAAAAACUCACGCCGUAUUCUCAACAUGGAUCAACAUUCGAACUUUUACCUUAAAAGGACCGGGGUAAGUAAGAACAUAAUUCUGAUUAAUCGAAGUAAUGAACAUUGUUGUCACUGGACAGAGAAUUACUGCAUCCAGCGGCCGAAGACGGAGGGGAAUUAUACAUAGAAUUGGCAGCAGAUGAAUUAGAAGACGAAGAAGACGAUACCAUCAUCGACGGAGAGGGCAAAGAAACCGGUGGAGCCGCCUGAGACGACAACAACCUUGGUGGUCGUGGCGGAUGAGGCGGUGGCAGUGGUGGUGGGAGCAGAAUGGCCGCAGCUAGAGCAGCAUGAUCGGACACUGAUGUGGUUGUAGUAUCGUUGAAGUUGUUGUUGUUGUUUUGAAGGGAAGUGAUUGUGGCGGCCUCUCGGUAUUUGUGGCGAAGGAUGUCUGUACGGACAGCCGUGAGUUCGGACUGGAGAGAUUGGAUGUGGUGUUGAAGAGCGGAGAUUGCUCCCAUGCAACCGUAGAUUGGAUCUCUCAGUCUUAAGUUUGCUUCGUAGACUAAACUGUUUGCGGCGUCCCCUCUCUGACUUUCACCCACUUCCUGCAACAUUUUAGUCAAUAUAUUUUAUAGCCACAUUCACAAUAUAACCAGUAAAUUUUAUUUUUACGCAAAACGGCAAUUUUUUGUGUGUUAGAUGUUUAUUUCAUUAGUUAGUAUAUACAUAACACAAUAGUUAGCUUCCUACACUACAAAUGUUUGACUUGCUAUAUUUACAAAUUGCAACGGUUGCAACCACCUAUUGAUAUUAGAAAACCAAAUGCUCACUAGAUUCGGUAGAGAGGAACUUUACUAAUAAUAAAUUUCGUUUAACUAUUCAAAAUGCCAAGUUGAUUCAAAAAAUUAGAGUUUGUUAGUGAAGUUGCGAUAAUAUUCUAAGGAAAAAUACAAAAUAUGUAAUUGAUACUGGUUUAUACUUUAUACUAAUGUUGUUGCUACCAUAAUCCAGUUUUAACAUGUAGUGAUAUGCAUGCAUGAGUUGUAGGAAAAAGAGAUGCUAACAAAUACCUAAUUCUCAUUUUAUCUAAAUAUGUUAAUAUAAUGAUAGAGUUUCUACUUCAGUUAAUUAGAUAAACCACCUGGGGAUUAAGAAAAUUAUCUGAAUGGUAAAUAUUAUUUCGAUGCAAUAGAUUUGAAAAGUCAAACAAUAAAAUGGUAGAUCCCUUCAACUAUAUCCCCAGUAAUCAUCUAUAAUACGUUUUUGUUUAACUGAUAUGAAUCCAAAGAAUAAUCGUAGUAAGAAAAUAUUAAGAAGAUAUUAAAUCAUUAGUGUAGACGUAUACGGUAGGUAAAGUACCAGAAGCAUCUUGGAGACGUUACUGGCACCGAAGACUUUAUGAACGGCGGCGAACUUGUGGGGUUCGUGAGGCGAGAAGUAGGGCGAGAAAGGGCACUCCUCCGCGCAACGACGACGGAGUAGCUUACAAGCGGCGCACGGAGUCACGGUGUUCAACGUUGUCCCCGGAGGCACCGCCACGUGUCUCCUGAUUCCCAUCACGGCAUGAUCCAUCGUCUUUUCGAAGGUUGGAUCUUUCUUUACCUUCUUCACGAUCUUGUAGUAAUCUCCAAAUCCUUCCCUGCUGUUUACAAUCAAUUCAAGAUCAUCAAUAGAUUAAUAACUUUACCAAGAUAUAUAAAAAUUAAAAAGCGAUAUGAUACAUGGUGAUUAAAUUUACCUGUCUCUGGACAUGCAACCAUGCUAAUUAUGAGUGUGUUCUUGAGAGCGUCAAUGGAGGAGGAGGAGGAGAAACGAAGAAGAAGAGGAGAAAUGGAGGAAAUAGACCUUCUUAAUAAAAGAAGUCAUUAGGGUGAAUUUAAUGGUCAUUCUUUAACUAAUUCAAAUUUAUUGUAAUAAAAAAAAACACUAUAGAAUUAUAGACUUAUAUCAUCUCGGUGAUUAAAAAACUCUUAUUAGUGUCUUACUCUUGUACGAUAAGAUAUUGAUUAUCAAAUUCUGAGUAUGCUCGAGAUUUGCAAGAGGUUAUUAUUAUUUACCUAAAAUAUGUAUAAGGAAUGAACACAUACUUCCGAAGACCAUAAAUCAUUACAGUAAAUUAAUUUUUGGGUUUAGAAUUUACUAAAUAUGUUCACUAAGUUUUUUUUCAAAUCUGACCAUAAGAUAUUAAACACAUUUCAAUUCCAAUAAGAUCGACCCAACCAUCAAUACAAUUCAUAAAUAUUAAAGUUUGUGGUUUGUUAAUAAUAACUUGAAAGAAAGUUGGUUUGCAUCGAUCGUUGUACACGGGGUGCAACUCAAUAUUGAGCCGUACUGAUUCGAUUAGAUUCAAACCAACCGAACAUAACGGGUAUUUCCACCCGUACUCUAUUUUCACCUAAAAUAAAAUUAAAAAAAUGGGUAUAUUCUUUAAAUAGAAUAGUUAUUUUAUUUUUAUUCAUCACUCUAUUUUUCAUUAUAAAAUAGAAUAUCAUUAGAGUAUAAAUAAAUUCUAUUAUAAAAUUAUUCUAUUUUGAAAAAAGUAAACUAUUGGAGAUGGUCUAAGUCAGCUAACGCUUAUACGUGCUCAUCUGGAGCGUGGGUUACACUCUAGAAACUAGAUCCGGCAAAACCAGCCAUCAUUUUGGACUUCUUCAUUGGAUAGAACCAUUUAAGCCAAUGAUUAACUUUUAACCCACUCGUUAGGGUACGGAUCGGGUUUUUUGGAUAUCAAAUUUUUGGAUUUAAAUUAAACUUUGUUUGUAUAUUAUAAAUAGAUCUGUAGGAAUCUAAAAAUAUAUAAAUAACUUAUGUGUUUAGAAAUAUCAUUAAAUAAUCUAUAAAAAAAAGUAAAAAUUAACACUAUCAUGCGGAUCAAACUCUAGUUUUGUGUGUUAUAAUAGGAGAAACCAAACUUUUUCAUACAUACUUUCUCUGGUCAAAGGUCUUCACGUGUUAUUUGCUACUUUAUGUGCAAAAUGUCAAAUUGUAGAAAGAAAAUCUACUACAUAAGGGUUACAAAAGAAGAAAGAGUUGCUGAAUGUAUAUUGAGCAUGUGGCUGCACGUGCAUGAUGUUUCCGCUUAAUCAAGAACUCAAAUUAAAUGCAUUAACCAGUUCAUAAUUUUACACGUUGACCGUAACUACAAAACUUUUGUUCGUGUGUUUCGUUUUUUCUAGUCUCCCCACGUCUUAACAUGCAUGGCUGCACACAAAUCUAAGUCAAUAUCGAGAACAUGUGGGCACGCACGCACACCAGAUCUCAUCAAUUUCACACUCUUGAAAAUUACAACAAAGUUUAUUUCGUUUUACACACAACUCGUGUAUUAUUAUUACUUUACAACUCUAUGAAAUUAGGAGACUUUGUCAAAUCUAUAAACUCGGAAACUCUCGGCCUCUUCAUAGACGAUCCAGCUCUGCAUGUCGGUGAUGGAGUCAUCAGAUCUAUCACUUCAACUUCGGUGCUCGAUGUGACAAAGUUGCUUCUUCUCCAACAGUCUUUCUCCAUAGUACUACACUGUGAUACUUUAUCUUCAACAAUCUUUUCUAACCAAACCCAGUGAAGCUUGCUAACCUGUCAUUAAAUACAAUCUCCGGUUCUUUCUCCACAGCUUCAAAGGAUCCUACAGUGCUAUAUGGCACUUCAUCUUCAUCACUAUCAUCUAAUAAACCAAAACCAGUGAAGUUUGCUAAUCUGUCAUCAAGUACAGUUUCAGGUCCUUUCGCUUUCUUAAGAUGUGGGUCAUCCAAGUAGGUUGAAAUUGGAUUCCCAGGCUGGUUUUGGUUGCUACUAUCACCAACAUCCUCUUUUUCAUUACUACCCGGACUCUCACCAUCUUCUUCUUGAGAAUUGUCGUCUUCUUUUGUGAAACACGGAAGAUCAUCCAUAGGACAAACAUGGACUUCCAUAUGUGGAGGCAAACUAGGAGAAAUACCGCCAAGGUGUGUUGGGUUCCUUCUAGAUGGAGGAAACCCAUUGAGUUAGGUUGGUGAUAACCAAACUUGGAAGUUGGGCCAUUGGUAUUAGUCCAUGAGAUUAGUAUUGGGCUUUGGAGGUUCUUAGGGUUAGUGAGACACAUAUAUAUAGUCUCUUGGCCUAAUUUUUUAUGCAGAGACUUACAAGAAUCAAAAAAUGGACAAAAGAGAGAAAAUAGGGAAUGAGGCAGAAUUUCGUCUGGGUUUGUCAAGGUAGAUUUGGAGGGUCAAACGGAUCCUGAUCGGGCUGAUAUAUUGUGGGAAGCUUCUUCAGUCAGUGAGUUAAAGGUUCACCGAAGGGAUUUAGAUUUCAACGGUUGGAUCUUCUGUUGUCUGGGUUUUAGUGAAGCUGGUCGUCACAGUUCUUCAGCAGUGCUGUCUUGAGUGUUUGGUAAAUCCGACGGUAAGAUCUUCUCUGAUUGAGCUGAAAUUUGUCAGAGGUGUUGUUGACUGGUUUAUCUUGGAUUUGUACGGUGGGAUUAGUCUCUGGUUGCCGGAAUCCUUGUGAGCUGAGGUCGUUUGGUUUCUGCUGGUUUUGAAGCUUUGUGUUGCUCUCUUGUUGUUGUUGUUCUUGUGUUGGAGAUAACUCUUUGUAGCUUGAGUCUCUGUUCUGUUCAGGUUGUUGAACAGUGAGGACGUGGUUGUACUCACAUACAUUUAUAUAGUGGAUUGUUGAGUGGACUACGGUCCCGUGGUUUUUCCUUCUCACAUCGAGGAGGUUUUCCACGUAAAAAGUGCUUGUCUCAUUUAGUUAUUGCUUAUAUUAUAUCAUGCUAUCGUCGAAGUAUUUUUCUCUCAGAUUCUCACAAAGUCAGGGGAAACACGAUUGCUACAUUCCGCUGCGCCUCGUGUCCGCUUUCCCCAACAAAGUGUGCAUACUUUGAUGAGAAAUAGUUGACUGUCAGGUUUAAACUGGUCACAGAAGAAAGAUAUACAAGUUAUGAUCGGUAAGAAGAAUGUGAAGUACAUAAGAAACAGCAAUGAAGCCUUUUUCAUUACCUAUUCCAAAUAGGAAGAGAGAGUAUAGUGUAAGCAAGCUUGGUGUUGCUAGCAAGUCCAGAGAUGGAUUUGAAAGAGGCAGCAGCUUCUCUCACUGCAAGUGAUUCUCUCGGAUACUGCCAAGCCCACUCAAACUGUAAAGAGGUUCCCAACACAUUAAAGAAAACAUUUUUAAGCUUUACCCAUUUCAAAGAGGUAAAAGAAGGAGAGGCCACAACAACUUGAGCUUUAGCCAGGAGGAUUAUCUAAAGGGUGGAGCUUUGGAGGAUAAGAUGUUAAGGAAAAGAAAAGGGACCUGAAGGGCAGAGACUUUAGUGGGGAAACCAUAGAUACAGAGGACCAUUUCCCAAGGACGUUUCUUCUUGGUUCUAUAUGCACCACUUGUGAUCUCUCCGUUGUGCUGCCUUAUCCUGCGCUUUGGGUUCACCGUGAACCUGCAACACCAGAAACAAAUCUCAAGAUUACCAAAAGGGAAAUGAAACAAUCCCAUGCACUAUAUUUGCGAAGUGAUUUUGCCGCAUGUCUUUUUUACAAUCAAUUACAGUACACAAAACAAAUAUGACAUGGCUACUGAAAUUGAUGACAUGUCUUAUAUUUUAAUAUGACAUGGACAAUUGCAUUUAAUGUUAAUCUAUAUUUUUGGUAAACUUUUUAAAAUAUGGUAAUAACUCAUAUAUUACAUUUAAUGUCAAUUUAUAUUUUUAGAAAUUUUUUUAGAAUAUGGAAAUAACUCAUAAAUCAUCAUUAAAAUAAAUAUAUUCAACUAUGGCAUUAUAAAUUUCGAAAUAGAAUUUAAUUAUAUAUUUUUAAAUUAUACAAUUUUAUUACUAAAAUUUUCAAAAAUGUAUACAUUUUGUUUAGAAAAUUAUAAAAAUUUAAUCGUAAAAUAAUUAUUUUCUUACAUAUCUACAAAUUUUGUUAAUAUUGUUUAAUUUUAAUUUUUGGUAAUUAUGCAACUUUUACAAAUUUAUUUAAUAUAUUUAAUUAAAAUAAAUAGAUAGAAAAUCUAUCUAAGAUUAUAAUUUCAAAUAUAUACAUGCAUAUUCUUAAAUAUAAUUUUUAUGUUUAAUUAAAUCAAACUUAUAUUAAAAUAUUGAUACGAAAAAGAAAAUUAACAAUAUUAAUAAAAUUUUAUUUUAAAAUAUAAUUUAUAUUUAUCUGUCAAUAAAUAUUUUAAAUUUUUUUACUGCACAUGGUGCAUGAAGACACCUAGUCUCAAAAUCAAAAUCAAGUUUCCACUUUUUGACGUCUCAUAAAGUAGUACCCUUAAAAUACUACUAGAAUUUCUGUACUCUAUAUAUUUCUAAACCUGUGAAAUGUGUAUAGUGGAGAAACAUAAAUUGUUCAAAUUUGAAAGCUGUAAAUAUUAUAAUUUUUGUAAAAUUAACAAAUAAAUAACAGAAAUAUUAUUUAAUUAAAAAAAAACAAGAUUUUCAAACAAUUAGAACUGUAUAAAUUUAAACACAUAAUUUUUGAAAUGUCAGUAUUACCAAAAAAAAUAUAUAUAUAUAUAUAUAUAUAUAAUUUAAAGUUAUAUGUCAUUGAGAGUACCUACAUAGGAUUUAAGACCGCUAAUCAUACUAUAACGCAUCAUAUUUUAAUUUCCUAUUUUUAAAAAAUCAAUAUUAUCAAAAAUUGUUUAUUUUAAAAUAAAAUAGUAACAAAUGUCAAAUAAGGUAAACUUACAAAAAUAUAAAUAUUAUAUAUGAAUUAACAUAAUGUUUUAUAGUUUUCUCUAAAAUUUAAAAAUAAAGAAAAAAAAUAGUAUUGAAUUUAAAAUAACAAGACUUUCAGACAUUGAUAAUAUUUACACAUAUUAGAUUUAACAUAUACAAACAAAGAGGUCUGAAUGUUUGUUAUUUAAAUGGUAUAAUUUUAUCAGAACUUAAACAUGAGAAAUAUUAAAGCAUACAUUGAGUACAAUUUUAUAGAAAAAUGUAUAUACGCCAUUUAUAUAUUAAUAUUUGCAAAAUAUUUACAAAAUAAAACUAAUUGUUAAUAUAAAUUUAUGUGUAGUGGAAGUUAAAAAAAAUUCUAUAUAUGUAUCCAUUCAUAAAGUAAUGCAUUUUUAAUAGUAUAGAUAAGCAAAUACAUCAAAUUUUAUUUUAUAUUGAAUAUUUUAAAAUUCAGAAAAUAUAAGAUUUAGCAUCAUUAAAAGAUUUUAACCAAGUCGAACUAUUUAAACCCAAAAUAAAAAAGAAAGUGAUGGGUUAAGAGCAUCUCCGAUGUAUUACUCCAUUUUCUAUUCCAAAAUGGAGUAACUCCAAAAUAGAGUUAAGUUUUACUCCAAUGUAUUACUCCAUUUUCCACUCCAAAAUAGAAUAUUCCUAAUAUUUUAUAUUUUAUAUUUAUUUAAAAAUUAGUAAUAUCACCUUUCAUUUAUACUAUUUGCAAAACAAUCUAUUUUCAGAUUGUAAUAAUUAUACUAAAUACAAUAUUAAUCACAAUUAAUUUUUUAUUAUAAAAAUACUCGACAAGGUUUAUAAAGAAAACAUUUAUUACAUUAAAAAUUACAUUACAUAGCUUAAACACAAUAAUACAUCAACUUAAAUUAUUCAUUAGAAUUAGUAUAAUUUUCCCACAAAUGAUCAAUUAAUGCAUUUCGAAGUAAAAAAUGAGCUUCUUUAUCUUUGAUUUUUCUGAAACGGGAAAGAAACUCUUGGAAUCUCGCAUUAUUAUUUCCUACAAUUUCAACUUCUGGAAACGGAACUUCUCUUUCAACUUCAAUUGGCGCCUCGAGAUCACGUUCAUCAUCGAUUAUCAUGUUAUGUAAGAUGAUACAUGUAGUCAUAAUAUCAUGGAGUACAUUUUUUUUCCAGAAACGAACAGGUCCUUUCACAAUAGCGAACCGAGACUGGAGAACUCCAAAUGCGCUUUCUACAUCUUUCCUACAUGCUUCUUGUUGCAUAGCAAAAUAUUUUUUUCUUUCGACCUACUGGCUCUUGAAUAGUUUGCACUAUAGUGGACCAGUUUAAUAACUUUAAUGGAUCCGGAGGUGAUUUAUCAGAUUAUUAAGCAAUUAUCUUUGUUGUAAGAUUUAUUUUAUGUUAUUUCUUUUGUAUGGUGCUUAUCUUUUAUUUUUUAUAUGUAUGAUCUGUUAUGUUUUAUAUUAUAUAUAUUUUGUUGCAUAAAAUAGUUCAUUAGAUGGCUAUAUAUAUAAUUAAGAAAUGUUGACAGUAAAUUUUAUAAUAUAUAUAGUAAAAUAAUAUUAAUAUACUUAUUUAUAACAAUUUUACUGAAAAUGAAAAUAUUUAAAUGUGGAAGACCAUUUUAUAAAUAAAAAAGUUAAACUCUAUUUUGGAGUAAUGAGUUGGUUUACUCCAUAUUUGGAGUAAUCAUGUCUAUUACUCCAUUUUGGAGUGGGUUUUGGAGUGGGGUUGGAGAUGAUUUUACUGCAAAAUGGAGUUUGAAGUGGGUUUUGGAGUAGAGUUGGAGAUGCUCUAAGCAAACUAUUUUGGGAAAAUUUUAUUUGGAAGUCACAAAAUAUUUGGGAAAAGAAAAAAAUGGAAAGGGGCCGAGCCGAACACACGGGUUAGGGGGCCCGUAUGAAUCCCAAUCACUAGUAGAUAUAUUAGAAAAAAGGAAAUAGGAAAGACCUACCUAUGGCCCAAAACGAGAAGAAUAAGACGACUAUAAGACCAUCGGUAUCGGGGGCCCUUAGGCCCGUCCCAUAGUUUUAAAUGGGUCGAUAAUAAAUGAAAAAGAAAUUAAAAGAGAGUGGGACGGGCCUUUAGUAAAGGCUGUUCGGGCUCGUCCUGUAGGCGACGUGGCAGCACGGGAGUGGGCGAUGGAAUCGGUGUUGUUCGGCUGUUGUUCUCCUCGAGAAUUCCGAAAUCGAAGUCAAAAAAAAAAAAAUCAAAAGCUUGAUGGCGAUGGCGAAGGCGAUGGCGAAGCCUUGAUCUCCAAAUCCAUCUCUUCAAAUCGAAAGCCAACCCUGCGUCUUCUCUCUUUCACUGGAGUGGGAGAUCUCUUUAUCUCCCUUGGCGAGGUCGCAGCUUCCGGCGUCGUUUGAUCCCCCGAUACUCCUCCAAAGCUCAAUCCACAUCGGUUCGCUUCCGUUCCAAUAAGACGAGAACCAAUCCUCUCCAAAACCUUUGAGAAUCGUCCCAACAACAAAAAAAAAAACAAGGUUUGCUUUUCAAGUCCGAUCUGAUUUCAAAAUUUUUUUUAGGGUUUUGUCGAAAUUCGACGAAUAAAAUGGUAUUUAUCCGAUGUUGUUUGAUAGAUUCGAUGGCAAAAAAAUAUAGAUUCAUUGGUUUGAGAACAAUUGUAUAGAUUCUAGGGUUCGGUAAUUUAUGAUAGUUCGUAUAGAUUUCAAAAACUUUCUAUGGUUCGAUUGUAUGAUUGUUUCGUUGUAGCUUGUGUGAUUGUUUCGUUUUGAUUGUAUGAUUGUUUAGUUGGUAAAAAAAACAUCCUUGUUCGGUUCAAAUUUCUAUGUGUAUACUAAAUCGUCUUCAAACACGAAGGAGACAUGGUGUUUCAUGUCACUCCUUUUGGUCCUAGAUGUUGUGAGAUUCAGUAUACACAUCCUCACAUCAUUAAGGAAGAAGCUGACGCGGAUGAUGCUCCUUCUUUCUCAUUCGACUACUGUUUUUUGGCUGAGGUCACUGCUUCAAAUCUAAAAGAAGACAAACUUGUGAGUCAAUUUUCAUACGUAUAGACCAUAUUUAGUUAGUCAAAUAUAUGGUUUGAUCUGUUCUGUGUUUGCAGUAUCUUCCUGUGGAAGCUACGACUUCUACUGCUUUGAACAAACAAUGCCAAGAGAUAAUACUUGUGAACAAAUAGGGAAAUUCAUGGACUGUGAGUUUACGAUUUAGCGAAUCAGACGGCAUGUAUUACAUCAGAAGAGGCUGGAGAAAGUUCUGUCUUGAUAACAGAUGCGCCAUAGGAGACUUAUUUGUGUUCAAUGUGGUUGGAGAUGGGAAAACUACUCCAUUAAUGUGUGUAUGUCCGGAAAGGAAAGAGUGAUUUUGAACCUAAACUUAUGUAUGUCACUCCAUUAAUGUGUGUAUGUCCGGCAAGGAAAGAGUGUUCUGAACUACUGAUCAAACACUUGAGCAGAAAGAAUGGUGAGUCUUCUCCAUUGACUUCCUUGACACGUCUUUAACUUGCUUGUUAUUUCUUUUACUACAUUGCUUCUGCUUUAACUUGUUUUGUCUUGUUCUGCAUGUCGCAUUGCUUCUAGCUCACGGGUGAUUUAUGAGUGAUUGUGACCGGAAAUAGAUAUUUUUUUUGCUGUGUUUCCUCUCUAUCAAACUUGUUUCCUUUUGUUUCAUUAGCUAGUUAUCUCUUUCGGUUUGUUUCGUCUCUAUCAAAACUUGUUUCCUUUUCUUUCCUUUUGGUACUACUGUAAAUUCUUGUUGUAAUCUUGUUGCUACAACUCGAAGUUGCCACAAGUGUAAUCAUGUGAACCAAGUGUAAUCUCGAACAAGUUGUAAGCUCGGUCUCAUUACUGCUUUCUCUAUUAGGUAACUGUAUUAUUCCUUUAUAUGCUUCUCUUAUGUUGUUCUCGGAUAAGGCUAGUGUGUUAAACUUGAAUUUGGCUUGAAUUUGGCUUGUAAACAUUUUUAAACUUGUAUCAAACGUAGACAUUUUUAAACUUCUAUCACACUUAUAAAACUUAUAGAAACCAUAUUAAAUGAAACUUAUAGUUUUAAGAAGAUAAACUUAUACAUAAGAUAAGAAAAACUAACAGAAAUUCUUUAGCUUAUAGCUUAUAACAUAUUCUCUGUUUUAAUUCUCUUUUAUAAAUUUUCAAUUUUUGAAUAAAAUGUUUAUAAGUUAAAAACUAUGCUUUUAUAUAUGUUAUUGCUUAUUAAUGAAAAUAAUCAAUUUAAUUAAGUAAGAGACAAGGUUAGUCCCACCAAUAAUCAACUAUUUAUAUAAAAACCCUUAGCUUAGUUCCUAAACACAAAAAUAAUAAUAAAAAAUGCUAAGGGCCUUUAAUCAAAUCCCUCCCAUAAUCCCUAAGUACCUUCCUCCUCCUCCUUGUCUUUUUUUUUGAACUACAAAGGUUAGAAAAAAGAAUCCUCCUUGUCUUAAUCCCUAAAAUCUGAAAAAGAUAUCGCAAAGCGGCAGCCUUAGGGUUAUAACAACAUCUCGAUGGACACGUACUCUUCUUGCAAGGGAUCCGCCCUCAAGGUAAUCUUCUAAUCAUUGUGAAUUCUUCUUACUCGGAUCUCUUUUCGAAAAUUAAUAAAAAUAUCUGAUUACAUAUGUUGUAUGUUUUAGGAACCGUUCAAUAGCGAAGCUGCUGCUAAGGGAAAAAAAAAGACUUCUACGAGAAUUACGUCAGUUCCUGGUAAUUGAUGCUUUAUUUAUUUUAUAAUUAAGAAGAUAUUUGAAUGUGUUAAUAAUUUUUUUUUAUCUCCUGCGAAUUAGGGUUAGGAUAUCUGUUGAAGGAUUCAACCCUCUCCGACCUGAGGAUGAAAUCAAGAGUGAAUUGAUUAAUCACUUCGAAUCAUGUGGCGAUAUCAUUAGGGUUGAUGUUCCCACAGACCCUUUUUACGACAGGUUUGUUUGUGUCUUAAUAUAAUAUAUUUAUUUUGUUUUGUGAGCUAAAAUAAAAUAAUUCUUCUUUGUUUUUUUUUUUUUUUUUAUUAACCUGGAGGGACUUCCACCCCCAGGGGCCAACCCCUCGGCACGAGGCGGACCAUUUGGUACUAUGGGGAAUUAGAUACCCCAAUUGCCUGGCCAGCGGUUCGAACCCGGGUACGUAUUGAGGCCGAAGUUCUCUCAACACCACCAGGCCAACCCCGCUGGUUAUAAUUCUUCUUUGUUACAGUCGUGCUUUUGUUAUUUUACAUGGCAAUGGCUUAAAAGUGAGAGAAAAAGCGUUGCAACUUAAUGGAAGUGACAUUGGAGAUUGGAAUGCCCUUGUUAAGUUAGCACCCGAGGAAGAAGAGGAGGAAUACAAGGCGGCAGUAGCUUAUAAAAAGUCUCUGUGUGCUGACCUAGCCAAUGACAAAAGAUUGUAAGUUUAUGAUACCCUUUUUGUUUUCAUAUUUUUUUGCAUCUGUUAAAAAUGUUUUGUGUUGUUGAUAACUAACAUGCAACAAAUUACUGCAGUUUGUUUGGCAUUGCCGUUUUGGGGUAUGACACUUCCCUUCCUCAAGAUGAAGUCGAGAGCAUUUUGAGGGAACAUUUCUCUUCUUGUGGAGAGAUAACACAUGUUUACGUUGAUACUCUAGACAAGUGUACUAAUAUCUAUUUUUCCAAAGAAGAAGGUGAAGCUAGUGCCCUGGAUCUUAAUGGAAGUAAAGUGGGCGGAUUCAAAAUAACUACUAUGCGCGUAGCCACAGUCAGAAGUAACCGUCGCUCUGGCCCCGGUACUGUUGGCUCUUGUAUCCCAGGUAAUACAUCAAAUGUUUUUCUUGAUUCUUUAUUUCCUAACGUUUCUUAAAUCAUCUCAUGAAUUCAACUUUAUUGUUUAUGCAGCUCAUUUUCUUGAGUUUUCCCGCGAGAACACUAAGAAGCUCGAAGAUUACAUGACUGAGUGGAGGGCCAAGGCGAGGAGGGAGAAGGACAGCGCUCUUAGAAAGCAUAAUACCUUCAAGGCUAGUAAGAGGGCCAGGGGCUAGGGCUCUUAGGGCUCGUAAUAAGAAGAUCACCACGGCCAUGAUCAGGAGGGAAGAGGGCAGUCGUAAUUAAUUUCUCUCAGCUCUUUGGUGUUUAUCAAUCCUGUGAUAAUACUAUGCAACCUUCUUUAUCAGCAAUCCUGUGUUCGUUUUGUGUGUGUUGUGGAUGAUAAACUUAAAAAAAAAAACUUAUUUUAUUUUAAGUUUUAUUAGCCGAUUUGCUUUGGUAGACAGAAAGCAUAAUCUCCUCAUUUGCCUACAAUACUAUCCUUCGCAAAUAGACACCACAUUAAUUGCGUGUUUGUUUGUGUAAUUCGUUAAUUUAGAAAAAAACGCCCCAAGAACAGAUAUAAUUUUCAGAAUUUAGGCUCCAUACCCACGAAAAAAAAACACUUUAAUUAAGAAACUACGUUAACACUGUUGAAGAUACUAUUCAACUUUCAAUGGAGGAGUGAGAUGCUCAAUGGAGCCAAAGCAAGGAAACGUCUCAGCCCUGGGAGAUGGAGUUUCCGCGGCAGCGACUGCAGCAUUGACUCCUGUAAUGAGAAACCCGGCGCCUUGGUGGAUGACAGGAUGUCCACGGAAAGAACCGGAUUUUACCAUUUGGGCUGAUCAACAGCCUCUUGGGCUGGAUUCUUUUGGGUGUGUUUUGUUUGAUCUGGACUUUCUACUUUACCUACACUUCAUUUCCCGACGAGGAUGAAGAAUCUGGUCUUUCUCUCUGAACAUGUACUAUUAGGUCACUUUUAGCCUUCAUCAGUGUGCAUCUCUCUCCCUUUCCUUUUCCAUGUCAGGACAUGAAUCAACAAUGUUCUUCCGCUUUCUUGUAAUUUAAAUUAAACUCCAAAAAUUCAGGUUUCAUGAUCAAAAGGAUGACUAGGAGGAAUAAAAGUUUAUGUUACCACUGGCUUGAAUUAGAAUCACUGAAUUGUACACCAGAAAAUUAUUUAGAUUUUAGAGUCUCCUAAUGAACUAAUUGCAUGAUUAUAGCGAUAUAGAUUUGAUAAUUUUUGGUAAUACAUGAGGAAUGAAGAAGGAUGAAAUAGAAAAACAUCAUUUUAUUUGAUCAUUAGAUAAUUUAUUUGGUAAUAAUACUAACCAUAAGCAUAAAGCAUGUUCACUGCAUAGACUAGAGUGAAUUACAUAGACCAAAAUUAUUUGCUGCCCUGUCCACUACCGUGCAGGUUUGUUGUAACAAUUGUGAGAAGGAACAGAUGCGGAAACAGAUGAAUAAAAGCGAUGUAACAACGACACAGAGAUUUAACGUGGUUCACCAACUUGGCUACGUCCACGGGCAAAGAGAGAUCUUAUUAUUGGAGGAGAUAUUGAGUUUACAGAGUGCAAGUUUAGAGUUA